rnacentral:lncRNA from 1 species
ACUAACAUCAAAUUCCCAAGUUCAUUAGGCAUGAGACCAGAAAAAUUAUUCUUCUAUAGGUACAUACACUGUAGGUUACUGAGGUUUUCUAGCGAGGAAGGAAUCGAACCACUUAGUAGAUUUUGGCUCACAUGGAAAUUAGUGAGAGCCUUCAAAUUCCCAAGUUCAAUAGGAAUUGGACCAGAUAAUUUAUUCUGAUCGAGGAACAGAAAUUGUAGGUUGCUCAGCUUUGCAAUUGAUGAAGGAAUAGAAUCAAUAAGUGUAUUGUUGCUUACCAGAAGCCUAGUGAGAGACUUCAAUUUCCCAAGAUCAAUAGGAAUGGGACCAGAGAUAACUUAUUAUGAGCCAGAUUCAGACGAUAUUGGUUGCUCAGGUUUGCUAGUGAUGAAGGAAUGUUGCCACUUACUUGAUUCUUGCUCACCCGAAGAAAAGUGAGAGAUUUUAAAUUCCCAAGUUCAAUAGGAAUGGUACCAAAUAAAUUGUUCUCAUCAAGGUACAAAUGUUGUAGGUUGCUCAAGUUUGCUAGUGAUGAAGGAAUGGUGCCACUAAGCUGAUUCAUGCUCACCUCAAGAAAAGUGAGAGAUUUCAAAUUCCCAAGUUCAAUAGGAAUGGCACCUGAGAGUUGAUUUUGGUACAAAGAAAGGACAAACAAAGAUGUCAAAGCACCCAAUACUGAAGGAAGAAUUGAGCUUGAUAUAUUGUUUGAGGAUAUGUCUAGGAACUCAAGUGUGAUCAUGCUUCCUAUUUCAGGUGGGAUUUCACCAGAAAACUUAUUCUCUGAAAAAUCAAGAUAGACCAGUUUGGACAGGAGUCGGAUGUAGGAUAGGGCCAAAGAACUUGUUUACAGUGAGAUCAAAAUGUGUAAGAUUUUGUAGGAAAAAGAAUGAAAUUUGUUGAAGUGUACCUCGUCUUAGAAAAGAGGGGUAAAACACUUGGAAAUCCUGAGAAUUGUGUAUAACAUUUUCAGAUUCAAGUAUUUGGGUGGUACUCUCAAUCUUUAAUCAGAUAAGACUCAGAAAAUCAGAGAAAUAGAAGAGAUAAUGUUAAAGAUGUUAUGAAGAAGAAGAGUACCAAAACUGAUUUCUAAAAUGAUCAUAUAACGAGAAAAACUUCCGGUCUUAAAACUGUCACAUGACAGUUUUAUGUCCUAAAACUGUCCAAAAACGAUCAUAAACCAACUUAAAUCCGGGUCUAGAAUAUGGAUCACAAAAACGGGUGCAUUUACCGAUAAUCCGGAUUUUUAUGCAUUUUUAAUAGAGCCACAUGACAACUUGACCCAACCACGGACUCUGCCAUUGGAUCCUGCUAGGGGUUGCUGACCCUUAGACCCCGCUCCCAGGGAUACUGCCCCUUAGACCCCACUCCCGGGGACACUGCCCCAGACCCCGUUUGUUCAGGGGCUUCGUCCCUAAAUAGCAGUGCACUUUUAAAAAUGAGGGUUUGGGUAUCAACAAAUUAAUCCUAUUACACUUAAAUAAUAUUAGUGAUGUAAAAUCACCACCACCUCGUAAUCUAGAUGACGUGAGGUUCAACUUCUGAAUGCUCCCAUCAGCAUUGCAAACUCCUCCGAACCAAGAAGUGCAUGGGAUCGAUGCACUGGAAUUCAUAAGGAGGAGAAUCCAUGAAGAGAGUAACAAAUUAUUUGGGAUUUAAAGGCUUUCUUUCCAUUUAAGAAGAUUAUUCCAACGAAGCAGAAGCAGAAUUUGGUGUUGGUGUACGAUAAUGAUUAGUAGAGUUAGAGAGAAAGCUAGUAAGUUUGAAGAAGACAUUAUUUUCUUUUCCAUGUUGUGUUUUAAAAAAUGAGGGUUUGGGUAUCCUACUUUAUACUUGAGCAGCCCUUUUAUCUUGUUUAUUUCAUUUCCUUUUAUUUGAAAAACUAAUUUAUGGCAAUUUCAUAUUUUUCCAGAAGGGGUGUGUUUGAUGUAGAAGCGAAUGUCCUACUUUUCCACAAAGGACUUAUUACAAUUUGAAUUGUAUUCUUCAUGACAGUCUAGCUAUAUAAAGGAAAAGAAAAAUAAAAGAAUGUUACAAAAGAAAUUUAAAAUAGUUGGUUACCAGAAAGACGUAAUGUAAAAUGUCAAUGUUGGAUUUAAUAUUGUAAUAUAUAUAACUUAACUGGAUGAUCAGUUGGACAUAUUUAUUUUUGUUUUGUGAUAAAUUUUAGUACAAGUUUCAUUUGAUUUACUUCAGAAAUAAAUUAUGUGAUACCAAUAGUUAGACGAUUGUGAUAUCCAAAUUGCGUGAAUGUGUCAAUGGAGAUGGGGUCGGAUCGAUGUGGCCUUUUAAGGAAAUCUAAUAAAUGAGUGAUGCUGAUGCAUUCCUUGAACAUUUGAAUGCAAUAACAUUAAGAUAAAUACGAGGAUAAAUGGCCUUGAUUCUUCCACUGAGAAUUUUGAUAAAUCCACUGAAAUCAUAAGUGUCAUGACAAGUAUGUCCUCACUUAAAUUAUAAGUGUAUUUUAAUUUUUUCCGGAAGCUGAUUAUCGUGAGCCAAUUAUACCAUAAAACAUUCCAUGAACAGUUUAUAACUUCCUUUUUUUUUUCUCUUUACUCGUUAUUUAAACCAACAGAUUUAUUUGUGACAUUUCACCCCUCAUUUUAUUACUUACCUUUUUUUUUUCUUCUUUAGUCAUUUUUUCUCUUUGCUCCUUAUUUAAGCCACUGUUAAUUGAUUAAACCAAUCAAACCGAUUAGAUCAAACUAAUAGUCGAUUAAACCAACCAAAUAAUAUCUCUAAUUAUAAUCAAGGAAUUAAUAUAUUUAUAUUGAUAUUUGGAAUAAACAUAAUCAUAGCCGUCAAUAUUAUAGUUUGAUAUUUAGAAUCAAAAGGGUAUCAGAGAUGAUAAACAAUAAUCAUAAUCUUUUUUAUUAAAAAGGGCUGGUGGCGUAAAAAUGAGCAAAAAAGAAAAAAAAAACAAUUAUUAAACGGAUGGGUCAAAUGUAUAAAAAAAUGGUGGCUCAAAUAAGGAGCAAAGUUCCAGGAAAGGUUUUUUUUGGUAUAAUUAGCUUACGAAUCCAAACAAAAAUACUCUACAAAUUUAAAUGGGGGCGUAGUUGUCAUACAUUUGUAAUUUAAGUGGAUUUAUCAAAAUCCUCCGUGGAUGAAUUCAGCGCCCUAAAUAUAAAAAAAAACGUCUAAAACAUUUCAUACUUACUCUGCUUAAAUAAAAUGUUAGUAACAUUUAAGAAAGGGAUACAAUCUCACCAAAACAACCUUUCUUAAAAAAAUAGAAAUCAUUAGGUUUUUAACAAAUAAGUUAAAUUACUAUAUAGGAGAGAGAGAGAGAGAGAGAGAGAGAGAGNNNNNNNNNNNNNNNNNNNNNNNNNAGGAAAGAGGGAGAGAGAGAGAGAGAGAGAGAGAGAGAGAGAGAGUAUUGCAAGAAUGGUCCCUGUGGUUGUCAAUUUCUUACGGUUUCAAUCCAUAAAAACGUUUGGACUUACAUAGCAGUCCAAAAUUGGAUAUUUUUUGUUAAAAAAAGUUUGGACUUGCAUAGUAAUCCAAAACUAGAUAUAUUUUUGUGGUUUUGGUCCUAUCAAACUAGAUUUUUGUAAAUUUGGUCCAUGUGUAAGUAGGAAUGUUACGUUUGUAGAAGAUGUAUUUCCUUUUGGAAAUAGUUAUGAGACAAACAAAGAUUUUGAGAGCACUAGUGUUGUUGAAUCCUUACACAAACUUCAACAAGAUAUGGCUGAUGAGAUGAAUCCAAGUUAUACAAAAAACAAUGGAGAAGAACAUGAAGAUGACACACACAAAACUGUUGAGAACAUAAAUAGUGAUUAUAACAGUGAUCAACCUACCUACACACGAGACAACUACAAACUAGACACCACCACUACCUCGAUCUCAAUAUGCAACAUCUCAACAAAUGAUAUUCACUUCUCGAGUUAGGAAUGCACCAAAACAUCUUAAAGAAUUCCACAAUGAUUUGCCUCCAUCACCGACGCACGCGAAAACGGUGGAAGGUUCAUGCACACAAUAUCCUCUUGCAAAUUUUGUAUCAUAUAUGCACUUUGAAAUUCUCACAAAGCUUCUCUUGCAGCUAUAACUUCUCAUGAUGAAUCUAAAAACUUUUUACAAGCUAUCAAGGAUUCAAAUUGGAGAGAUGCCAUGAGUAAAGAAAUUUGUGCACUUGAAGAAUAUGGCACUUGGAUACUAACGAAGUUGCCACUCGGGAAGAAGGAUAUUGAUUCAAAGUGGGUAUACAAGAUAAAAUACAUACCCAAUGGAGAGAUUGAGCAAUAUAAAGCUCGAUUGGUGGCUAAAGGUUUCACGUAGACGUUGGAUUAGAUGUCUAAGCCCAUAACUAUUAUUGGUAUGUACUUGACCCGAGAGUAGCAUGGUCCAUUUGGGUUGCAUAUCAUCAGGACAAUUUGUUAGGAUGGACUCUUGAGAGAAGGUUAUAUAUGAUUUAUUAAUAUAUUAUAAGUACUAAUAUAUUAAUAUGAAAUCAUAUGGUUUUAAUUAAUAUUGAUCAAGAAUUAAUUUGGAAUUAAUUCAGUGAUCAAAAGAGACUAAUUAAAUCUAUAGGGACUAAUUAUUGUAAUUAGUUAUAUUUAUAUGUGUUGGGCUUAUGAUCCAUGUUGGACCAAGUUUAUGUAUGGAUACAUAAAUAAUUGAGCCACAUGAACCAUAGAUCAUAAAACUCAUGGGUAUGGAUUUGGGUUAUACCCAUGACCCUUAGAAUCCUACAUAUAAAUAUGUACUCCUUUACCCAAAAUCACCACUUCUAAUGUUCUUGGAGUUUAUGGAGUUUUUGGUGCAUGGAGUUUCUCUCUCUAAUGUCCACCUUUGUCCUAGGUGUGUUUUGAUUCCAUUUGAGGCUUCCACACUAUUGGGUCUAAGCUCUUUAAGUCCAAAUACAACAAGGAUUCAAGUUAUAACAGAAGGUAUGUUAUCCUAACUAGUAUUUUAUAUUGUUCAUGUCAAUUGCAUGCUAGUUAUAGGCUUAAUGCUUUGGAAACACUAUUACAUUUAUAAUUAGAGAAAACAUAUAUACAAGGCAUUUAGGGUUGUAUGUGCACCAUAGGAUGUUGUAGUAUAGAAAACCCAACAGAUAGAAGGAAUUAAUUUGCAUGAAACAUUUGCACCGGUUGCAAAGUAGUAACCGUCGAUGUGUUUUUUAUGUGGCAGCCAAAAAGAAAUGGAAGUGCACCAGAUGGAUGUAAAUAAUACCUUCUUGCAAGGAGAUUUAGAUGAAGAUGUGUAUAUGAAGAUACCUCAAGGUUUUGAUAAAAGUGAAGGACGCAUAUGCAAGUUACAAAAGUCUAUCUAUAGAUUACGUCAAGCAUCCAUAAAUAGGUAUCAAAAUUCACAAAGGCCAUCGUUAGGUUUGGUUUUCAACAAUCCAAUGUAGAUCAUUUUAUGUCUGUGCUUCACCUACGUACCAUAUAUAUUAUUGCUCUCAUAUACGUAGAAAAGAUACUCCUAUUAGGUAAUGAUAAUGGGAAGAUAAAUGAAGUAAAAGAGUAUUUGCAAUCUCAUUUCAGGAUCAAGGAUUUGGGUACUCUCAAAUAUUUUCUAGGCAUUGAAGUGGCAAGAUCGGAAGAAGGUUUUGUCUUAAGCUAGCGAAUAUACACCAUCAAUAUUCUCAAAGACAGUGCGACAUAACGGUGUCGACCUUUUAAUUUUCAUUUGGAGCAAAAUUUAUGCCUUCAUCGAGAUGACAAUGGUGAGAAUGUUGAUGCAUCAUAGUACAGUACAAUACAGAAGGUUGGUGGGAAGAUUGUUUUACCUCACCGUUACUCUCCCAGACAUAAUUUUUGCUGUUAAUCAACUCAGUCAAUUUCUAUAUGAGCCGAAAAAAUAUCAUAUGGAUGAUGCCUUUCGCAUCCUUCGAUAUUUAAAAGGUUCACCGAAACAAGGGUUAUUUUUGCCAGCCACCGGUAAUCUCAAUCUUUUAGUAUCAAACUGCUGACAUAUUUACCAAAGAACUUGGUGCAAACCAUUUUCAUUUUCUAUGUAGCAAGUUGGGAGUUCGUUAUCUACACAAUCCAACUUGAGAGGGAGUGUUAAGAUACUUAUCUCAUUUCCUAGUUAUCUUAGGAUUACUUGUUAGCUAAGAUUUAGUUUCCUUAUUCAAGUUUAUCAGUUUACAUCUACAACUCUUUUUCCUUAUAUAUACAAGGGUUGUAAACACUUGAUUCAAUAAUAAUAAUAGAAUUUCCAGUUUAUUGUUUUUCUUCUCUAAAUUUAUUAGAAAGGGAUAAGAAGUAGCAAAUUGUUUCUCUUUCUCGCUAAAACAUGCACCUCAUGUUAACUCUCUCUCUUUUUCUUGAUUGCUUUUAUCUACACCUCCUUGUCAUCCUCAUCAUCUCUAGAGUCUUGUACAUCCUCAUCUUGAUUGCUUUUAUCUACACCUCCUCUUAGAUCAUAUUAUUGUAUAAAUUUAGUUCAUAUUGUCUAUUUCCUAAAGUUUUCUGACUGCAAACAUAUGGGAAGCGACGGUGAUGUCAAUAGGGGAUGGACAAAGAUACAAAGCAGAAGAUUCAAAGAUAAGGUGAGGAAAACAAAGGACCAGGUGACGAUGUUCUUUGCUUCCAAUAUUCUUCGGGCGGAAAAAAAAAGAGCUCUGUGGAAAGCCUUUUCUAAAUAUGGAGAGGCAACAGACAAUUUUAUGGGGGUGAGUUCAAAAAAGAAUGGGGGCAUAUAUGGCUUUGUUCGAUUCAUUGGGGUAGUUGAUCCUAGAAGCUUCGAGGAAGUGAUUAAUGGCACAUUAUUCCUUGGCAGUAAAUUGAUGGUCAAUAUCUCUAGAUUUCCAAGGUGGGAGAUUGAGGCAAGGAAUCCCAGCUCGGGCGGUGGGAACCCCUCUUGUAGAUACGUUGUCGACGUAAGGCUAAGAGAUAAGAGAACCUUUGCAGAAGUGGUGGCUCCGGCGGCACAUCCAAAUCGUCAAAAUUCCUACGGUUAACCACUACCCCCUUCGCCGUCUUUAAUGCAUCUGAACCCAGUUCCUUCUAUGGUGGGAUGGUUACGUAAGUGCACUCUAAUUGGCGAAUCCCUAACCAUAAAUAAUAUAUGUCAACUUCCCUCGCUCCUGAGUAUGUACAAUGACGUCGAUAUAGACAUCAAAUACAUUUGGAGCCUCAAGGUUGCGCUCCACUUCGCUACCUCAAUUACAGCCCGAGGUUUUUUGGAAAAUAAAGACAAAUGGAAAUAGUUCUUUGUUUGGCUUAAAUCAGGGGAAACAACAGAACCGGAGUGUGAUAGGGUUGCAUGGGUCAAAAUCUUUGGCCUUCCCUUAAAACUUUGGGGAGAAGAAAACUGCGCGGCUAUUGUUCAGAAAUACAGAAGGAUCAUCUCGCCCUUUGAUGAGAUUCCUUCACGUGACGAUUAUUCUUGUGUAAAAAUUGGGGUUCUAACCAAAGAAAAAAGAUUGAUAAACGAUGUAGUAAGCAUAAUUUCCCAAGGAGUUAUUAGCAAUAUCUCAAUUGUUGAAGUGGUGAACGAUUGAUUCCCACUUAAGUUCGAACAGCACUGUGAGUCUUACAACCAAGACGAAGAUGUACAAGACUCUAGAGAUGAUGAGGAUGACGAGGUUGAUGGCGUGUCAGACACCUGGAUGAAUAACACUGAUGAUACAGAACUUGAGGAUGGUGAAAUCAUUCUAGAAGGGAAGGAUGUUGUGAUCAGAACAACGAACUGGGCCCUGGCCAGUGACAGCUCCGGCGGAAUACCAAGCGACAUGGAGGUUCUGGGGAACAAAACAUCGGAGAAAGAAACGAUGCAUGGGGAAUACAAUUUGCAGGAAAAAAAAAUACUAAUGUAAUUAAUUUUAAUGGGGAUAACUCAAAAGUUGAUGUGGGGACCCACCUGGGGACUAAUCUGGUGUCUGAUCCAUCUAAUAGUUCCAGGCCUCAAGCUAAUAACGAGCUUAUCGAAUCCCUUGUGGCAAAUGGUUGUUUUGGGCCGUUCCCAUUCUGGUAUGGUCAUCACGACAUCUUCUAUGGUCUUAUAUGGCCAUUAAACACAAAUGUGAACACCAUCCCAUAGUGUAGUGGUAGAACAUUUUCGUGGUCAUAUGUGGUGAGGAGCACAGAUCACCACACCCAAUCAGCUUCAUUCUCUCUCUACCUUUUUCCAUCUCUCUCUACAAUUUAAUUAAUUAAAAAAUAUAUAUUUUUUAUUUUAAUAAUCAAAAAAUAAGAGGGAUAUAGUGGUGAGUAUCCCAACCUUUUAGUGGUAGCUAGUGGUGAUGAUGUGGCACCCACUAUAAAUGGUAGGAAUAACCGAUGGCGAUUCAAUUUUUCUGCAACAAAAGAUGGUUCAAGGGGAAAAAGUGACUUAAACAGGAAAAGAUGUCGUGAGAUCUCCCCUCCAAGGAACCAGGCAUCCCAAAAUUUCAUCUUUUCUGCGCAGAUUUCUGCCCCUACCCCCACAAUGUCGGUGGCUGUCGGUUCGGAUCUUACCCCCAUUGAUCUAAAUGUUGCAGAUAAUUCGACGCCACAGGAGGAUACAAGCAGUGAUUGCAUCUCUCAUUCUAAGGAGAAGGACCUAACUGUUGAAAUUGGGCAAAAACUGGGCUUCGAUAGAAGUGCAGAGGAUCCGAUCCUCAAUGAAAUCAUGGCCGAGUCUGGAGGAGGUUUGGGCUUACAAUGAAUUGCAUCACUUUAAAUGUGCGAGGUUUGGGGGAAGACCACAAGGUGAAUUGGAUUCUACGACUCAAGAAUAGGCACAAAAUCUCGUUCUUUGGGAUUCAACAGACCCAAAUGUCAAAUGCAGAGGACAUCAACGUUGCUUGGUGUUGGGGAUCCAACGAGUUUGAGCAUGAUGGAGUAAAUACGGUUGGAAGAUCGGGAGGCCUACUCAGUAUUUGGGAUAAGAAGCUCUUUUCGGUUUUUGACAUUAUCAAAACUCGAUACUUUAUUAUUGUUUCGGGAAAUUGGUCUGGCAUUUCAUCCCCGGUCAAUUUUGAUAAUAUUUAUGGUCCUCAGCAAGUCUCUGACAAAGCUAAAUUGUGGGAUGACUUGCUUACAAUUAAAGAUAACAAAGCUAGAGCUUGGGUUUUCUUAGGUAAUUUCAAUGCAGUGCGGAGGCCAGACGAAAGAAUGUACUCUCAAUUCUGUUCAAUCACGACAGUGGGAUUCAAUAAUUUCAUUGCUGAGGCAGGUCUCAUUGACUUAAAAAUGGGAGGUUAUAAAUUUACGUACUCUUGUACAAGGGAACUGAAACUUAGCAAAUUGGACCGAUUUCUCUGUUGCUUAAACAAACUUCAUUUUCCCCUCCUUAUCUGUGACGGAUUUAGAUAAGGAAUUACCCGAUCAUUCUCCGGUCCUUCUCUCAUCAGCGGUGAUGGAUUUCGGUCCAUCUCCGUUCAGAUUUUCUAACUCUUGGAUGAUUAUCUCAGCUUGUGCCAAUUUCAAGGGGUAUGGGUGUUCAGACUCAUUUUUCGCUACCAAACUCAGGUACUUGAAAAAGGCAAUUAAAGACUGGAGUAGGAAAGAGUUUGGGAAAGAACAGCAGAAUCUUAAUCAAAUUAAAAACAGAGUGAAGGAACUUGACACUUUUGCUGAGACUAGACCAUUAACUGAGGCUGAAUUUGGAGAGCGGAGAGAAGGAUUCUAAAAGAUCGGGGACAUGGAAAGGGCAUUGUUCACUGAUUUAAAGCAGAAAGCUCGAAUUAGAUGGGCUGUGGAUGGGGACAAAAACACAAAGUUUUUCCGUACUUAUGUUAACAAUAAAAACAGGAAAAAUCAAAUUACAUGAUUGAUGACUGAUAGGCGUUGGUCUACCAACCCGGAGGAAAUAAAAGUGGAGGCCCUUCGUUUCUUUAGUUCUAAAUUUCAUGAGAGGCAUACUUCCUGCUCCAGGCUUACAAGCAAUCGGUUUUCGUGAUUAUCUCAUACUGAAGCGCAAUCCCUAGAGUCUCCAUUUUCCCAUGAAGAAAUCAAAGCAGCUGCGUGGGCCUGUGGCAGCGACAAAGCCCCAGGACCUGAUGGCUUUUCCUUUAAAUUCAUUAAGUCCCAUUGGAGCCUCCUUGGGGCAGAUAUAAUUAAUUAUGUGAAACACUUUGAACAUGUGGGUACUAUAUCUCCAGGGUGCAAUAGCUCCUUUAUUUCUUUGGUCCCAAAAAUUAAGGAUCCUCUAAAGAUGAACGAUUAUAGACCCAUAAGUUUGAUUGGAUGCCUCUAUAAGAUAAUUGCUAAACUCUUAGAGACAAGGUUAAAGAAAGCAGUAGGAUCUGUUAUUGGAGAGGCUCAGUCGCCAUAUGUUGCUGGGAGCAACAUCCUUGAUGGGCCUCUCAUUGCUAAUGAGGUGUGUUCAUGCGCAAAGAAAUCGAAGAGGCAAAUUCUGCUUUUCAAAGUAGACUUUGAUAAAGCUUUCGACUCUAUAAAUUGGAAAUACAUUGACUCGAUGCUAGACCAAAUGGGCUUUGGAGCGAAGUGGCGAUCAUGGAUUCAGAGUUGCUUGUCUUCUUCUAAAGCCUCAGUUUUGAUCAAUGGGAGUCCCACAGAAGAGUUCAACAUCACGAAAGGUGUAAGGCAAGGCCACCCUCUAUCGCCAUUUCUCUUCAUUAUUGCUAUGGAAGGCCUGAAUGUGGUACUCAGUAAUAUCAAUAGCGAGCAUAGCGACCGUUAUUGCGUUUUGCGAGGCGAGGCGUUCAAGGGUCACUAUGGGCUCAAAAGCGACUUCAUAGCGAUGUUCUUGAUUUUUUUUUAAUUAUAAAUACGGUAUCUACAGACCUGUUUUAGGGUUUUUUUUAGUUGACUAAGUCAAAGAAGGUUCAUACGCUCUUCUCUCGACCUAACCUCCCUUCCGCUUCUUCAACUAUUGUCAGCUCCUUCCCUUCUUCCUUCGAUUUCUCUUGCAAUCGAAGAUUAGUAGUCUUUUUUGGUAGUAUGCAUGUUUUAGAACUUAUUUGAGUUAAUAGUCUUGGGGUUUUUAGCUUAUUUAUUAGUUAUAAUUGCGAAUUAGGUGAAAGUAAAAAGUAGUAUAAUUUUUUUAAUAGGUAUUCUCUAAAAUUGAAAUAGUCGUCGCUAUUUCAUCGCUAUCGCGACAUAGCUUAUAGGUAGGUUGUCGCUAUGACCUCGCUAUCGCCAUCGAUAACACCGGUGGUGCUGAAGGAAGCAUGCGAUCAUGGCAUCUUCAAAGGUGUGAAUUUCCAGGGAAAUGACCCAUGUAUAUCGCAUCUCUUUUAUGCAGAUGACGCGCUCUUCCUUGGUGAGUGGUCUAAGGCGAAUAUAAAUGACCUGGCUCGCAUCCUUAGAUGCUUCUAUGCUUCUUUAGGGCUCAAGGUAAAUUUCUGUAAAUCUCAGGUUUUUGGCAUUGCUGCUUCGCAGCAACAAGUGAAUAGAUGGGCACGUCUUCUUGGGUGUGAGCUAUCUUCCCUCCCAUUCAUAUACUUAGGGGUGUCGGUGGGAGCUAACAUGAAGUUAAAGAAACAUUGGCGUCCAAUCCUUAACAGAUUUAACUCCAAGUUAUCUGAAUGGAAAGCUAGAAACCUGUCUUUUGGAGAGAGAGACUUACCCUUAUCAAGUCGGUGUUGUCACAUUUACCUUCAUGUUAUUUUUCACUUUUUGUUGCUCCAGGUGCAAUCCUUAAUGAACUGGAGAGGAUUAGACAUCGCUUCUUAUGGGGUGGCUCGAAGGACUUGAGAAAGAUUUGUUGGGUGGGCUGGGAUAAGGUUGUUGCUGCAAAGGAAAAAAGAUGGUUUAGAUGUUGGCUCCAUAAAAGCAUUCAACAUAGCCUUAUUUUGUAAAUUGUGGUGGCGGAUAAAAACUGAACCAAACUCAUUCUGGGCCAAGGUGAUUCAUGUUAUUCACGGGCUUGACAACAAACCAGACGACUUCCUCGCCAAGAGAUCGAGACCAGACCAGGUGUUUGGUGCUCCAUUGCCAAGGUAAAACUCGACCUGGUCAAGCGCAACAUCCCUUUAAACAGAGUCAUUAGAAGGGGGGUUAGCCCAAGUGAGGCUUUUGGGUGUCUGAUUUGGCUAAUGGAGGGCGCUAUAUAGCAUGAGGCAGACGAUUGAUAAUUCCAUAUCCAUUACUCCCGUGGAUCCUUUCCAGUAGACUAAAAUCGUUCCCCUGAAAGUAACAUGUUUUGCUUGGCGUGCAGAAGUAGAUCGGAUCCCCUCGACAGUCAAUCUUCUUCGAAGAGGAAUUUCCAGCAUGGAUAAGUAUUGUAGCUACUGUGGAGGUGUGGAGGAGACUACAGACCACUUAUUGUGUGGGUGUCGUGCAGCAUGUACUCUAACGGAUUUAGUGUUUAGAUGGUAUGGAAUUCAACACUCAAACUUCUCGUAUACUUCUGAAGUUCUAGAAUUUGUGUACAACUGGGGAAGUUGCCUAAACAGAAGGAGGAUGCUAAUCGGAAUUUGCUAUGGUAUGCUUUGGUGUAUAUGGAGAGCUCGUAAUGACAGGGUGUUCAACAACAUAAAAACAAAUCCUGAAAGAGUGGUGAAUAUCAUUAAAUCCACUGUGUAUUUAUGGUUUAAACAUAGGAGAAGAAAAGGUGUAUGUAAUUGGUUUGAUUGGAUUGUUAGCCCUUUCUCUUGCAUUUGAAAGACCUAUUUUGUUUCUUUUCUUUUCCACUCUUGUAAUCUUUUGUUGGGUUGUUGCCUAGUGCCUUGUUAGGUCGCUCUCUCUUUUUAGUUUUAUUUAAUAUAUUUGACGGUUCUAAAAAAAAUUAAUGUUUUAUUAAUCUAUGUUUUUUUUUUGUUUGUGGACAAUAAUUUUUGGGACGNNNNNNNNNNNNNNNNNNNNNNNNNNNNNNNNNNNNNNNNNNNNNNNNNNNNNNNNNNNNNNNNNNNNNNNNNNNNNNNNNNNNNNNNNNNNNNNNNNNNNNNNNNNNNNNNNNNNNNNNNNNNNNNNNNNNNNNNNNNNNNNNNNNNNNNNNNNNNNNNNNNNNNNNNNNNNNNNNNNNNNNNNNNNNNNNNNNNNNNNNNNNNNNNNNNNNNNNNNNNNNNNNNNNNNNNNNNNNNNNNNNNNNNNNNNNNNNNNNNNNNNNNNNNNNNNNNNNNNNNNNNNNNNNNNNNNNNNNNNNNNNNNNNNNNNNNNNNNNNNNNNNNNNNNNNNNNNNNNNNNNNNNNNNNNNNNNNNNNNNNNNNNNNNNNNNNNNNNNNNNNNNNNNNNNNNNNNNNNNNNNNNNNNNNNNNNNNNNNNNNNNNNNNNNNNNNNNNNNNNNNNNNNNNNNNNNNNNNNNNNNNNNNNNNNNNNNNNNNNNNNNNNNNNNNNNNNNNNNNNNNNNNNNNNNNNNNNNNNNNNNNNNGUCUAGAGGGUAGAUCUGAGGUUGCUACCUCAGAUCUGGAAGGGAGGAGAAUCAGAGAGCAUGAAAGUCCCUGUGUUGGAGUGUUUAGUGAAGCUUGCAAGUCCCAAACCCUAGUUAUAAGUGAAUAAGGCCUAGAUCUCUUUGGAUUCACGUAAAGUUUGCCACUUUACGUGAUGGAUGAGUUGUAUGAGGCUAGAUCUAUGUUUUGGAUCAUUUGCAUGGCCUGGAAUGCUUCUGAAUGGAUUCAGAUCGGUGGUACUCGGCGAGUCACAUGGGUGAACUCGACGAGUUGCUUGAAGAUGAGCUGGGACUCGACGAGUUGGAAGAACAACUCGGCGAGUCGGAUGAAGAUAGCCUUGAACUCGGCGAGUUGUAUGAACAACUCGGCGAGUAGGUUGAUGAUAGCCUUAGACUCGGCGAGUCUGUUCUUGGACUCGGCGAGUCUUGUCGAAGAGUUCCGAUAUUCUCUGGUUGAGUCGAGAAUCGGUGAGUCAAGGGAUGACUCGGUGAGUUGUGUGCGAGUGGACUCUGAGUUGUUGGACUCGGCGAGUCUCGGGGUGACUCGGCGAGUUAGGUCGCGGAUGGAGUGAAGUCUGAGUAUGGGAACUCGGCGAGUCAUAGGGUUGACUCGGCGAGUAGGGUCAGUCAGGAGUUGACUUUGACCUUGUCUUUGUCCAAGGGUUGACCAAUGGUGUCCAGGGGCAUUUUGGUAAUUAUUGUUUGUUGUUUUGAGUUCAGCGCAUUGGUGGUUGACCAGUGGUGGAGAUCGUAUCAGUGAUCGGAGUAGCUUGGAUUAUCUGUUCAGUCGGCAGCUUCGAGGUGAGUUAUCCUCACUAUAUCAACGGGGUCUAAGGCACCAAGGCCGGCCCUUAUCGGAUUGAGAUCCGGGUAGUUGUUGCUAUGUUAUUGUUAUGUUGUUGUGCUAUGAUAUGUUUGCAUCCUGUGAGUUAGGAUGGUGUAUGUUAGAGGCCUGAUUGAGAUCAGUAUAAUGAGAGAUAGGGAGGCGCCAUGCUAGUGACCUGUUAGGUCAGUAUCCUGGUUAGGAUGAUUAUAUGUUAUGUGAUCUGUUAGAUCUGCUUGAGGUCUGUGAUUUGCUCUAUGAUUAUAUGUAUGUAUGUGCACAUGGAUGUUUGGACUGGAGUUGGGUUGAGGCGGGUCCUGCUAUGUGCAGUAGGCCAAGAUACCCAGGGUGGAUCGGUUGUCCUGUAGGCCCAGCGAGCGGUCCAGAUAGGUUGUAGGUCCCGAUACGGGCGGACCAGACGUGCCGAAGGCUCGGAGAGUGGACCAGACAGACUUAAGGCCCGGUGCGGGCGGACCAGUCAUACUAUAGACCCAGAGAAUGGACCAGGGAGAUUGAAGGCCCGGGAACGGGCGGACCAAUUACACUGCAGACUCGAUGUAUGCGGAUAGACUCAGAGGGUGGACCAGGUGGACUGUUGGCCGGUGCGGCGGACCAGUCACACAGUAGACCCGGAGAGCAUGGCUGUUCUAUGAUCGGAUAUGUUAUGGCAUGUUAUGCGUGUAUGGUAUUUGUGGUUGGUAUUUUGGGGGUAUCUCACUAAGCUUUCGGGCUUACAGUUGUGGGUUCAUGUUUUUCAGGUUCUUCAGGAGAUCGUGGCAAGGCGAAGGCGUGAUCGUACCGCUCCUCAUGAUUUCGUGGUGUUAUGAUUCUGGGAAUACGAUAAAUGUUUUGUAUUGAAAACCUUUUUGUAAAGAUUUUAUGGAAUCGAGAUGUUUUUGAAAAAUUUAAAAUUGGUUGUAUUUUUCGGCUGUUACAAGUUGGUAUCAAAGCCUUGGUUUGAGUGAAUUGGAGAAACACUCGUGUGACUCCAGUCUCAAAUCGAGGAGAGUUUUCAAAAGAGUAUUUAAAAAUGGUUUUCAAAAUGAGUAAAGGAGGACGCGGAGGUACGAUCAGCCGGAGCCAGUAAGUAACCCCAAAAUACCAUGCAUGUUAUUUGUUUUUGAGCUUUGAUAGAACAACAUGCUAGUGUUAGGCUAGGGAUCUUCAGGAUUUCAUGAUAUGUUGCCUGAUUUGUGAUGCCUGUAGCCUAGGGUCCCUUAUGGGAGAUUCUCAGUGUUUCUCUAGUGGUGAGGGUUGAUUAUUGUUAUGCUUGUUCUCUAGGGUAUUGUGGUAGUACUUCAUACAAAUGUGGGUAGGUGUGGAAGGUAGUAUGGGCCCGUACUACUGAAAGCACAGGACCCAUACGCGUAUCAGGGAAACCAUGAUCUCUAGGGUGGGUUGAGAGAGAGUUGGAUCCCAGGGUGUGGGAAGAGUCUGAGAUUUUGUGUGGUGUUUCUUUUCAGUAUGGAGAUUCCGAGGCAUGAUGAGAGUGGAUCCGGGUCAGGAUCGGGAGCUGGAGAGAGGGUUCCGGGCGAAUCGGUGCCGCCCGAGGUUGUCGGUCAGAUGAGCACGAGCGAGUUGGACGCGAGGAUUCGUGAGAUCCUGCGUGAGGAGAUUGCGGAGUUGUUCCGGGCUGAGUUGCCAGAGCUGUUUGGGUCGAUUAAGACCGCCAUGGUUGAGUAUUUUGAUGAGCGUUAUGCGGCUCUCACCGAGACGGCUGCCGCGGCGGCUACAACAGCUGUAGCAGCGACAGGGGGAGGAUCUGGUUGGGGUUUUCAGUAUUGGGACUUCGACAAUACGAAGCCUCCCACCUUCGAUGGAGUUCAGGACCCGAUCGUCGCUAUGAGAUGGUUAUCUGACGUGGAGGGGUGUUUCUUCACGUGUUCAUGCCCUGCUGAUCAGAGGGUGAGGUGUGCUCUGAACCUGUUGAUGCUCGGGGCGAAGGAUUGGUGGAGACUGACCACGGGGUCAUAUUCGGAUGCUCAGAGGGCUGCGGUUUCAUGGGAACAGUUCAUAGAAAUGUUCAACACUCGUUAUGUUCCGUAAGUUGAGAGGGAGAGAUUGGCUCAGGAGUUCCUUGACCUGAAGCAGGGUUCGGAGUCGGUGACUGAGAUCACCAGGAUGUUCACGGAGAGAGCGAUGCUUUGCCCACAGUUCGCUUCGGAGCAGGCUCAGAUGUCUCGAUAUCUGAGCAUACUCAAGAGGGACAUCAGACAGUUUGUGUCUGCGUAGAGGUGCGAGACCUUGGUGGAGUGGUAGGAGGCCGCUAGGCGGCGUGAGUUAGAGAUUGAGUUGCAGUUGCGUGAGCUGAGACAGGCUCCUGUGCAGUCACAGCCGGCGCCGAAACGGUCCAAGACCGUUGAUGUUAGAGUGGGGGAUUUGAGCAGCCACACUUGUGGGAAGUGUGGGAAGGGUCACACCGGGGUUUGUAGGACCGGUGGUGCAUGCCGCAAGUGCGGAAGGGAUGGGCACUAUGCGAGGGAUUGUCGGCAGUCAGCACCAGUUCGGGAUUUGAGGAUCUGCUAUCAUUGUCAUCAGGUUGGACAUUUGAGGGCCAACUGUCCACAGUUUGCUGCAGGAUCGGUGCAGGCUCCAGCACCGGCCACUUUGAGGAUCAUAGGUGGAGGUCAGGGUGGAGCACAGCCCCCGAGGGCUCAGGGUCGUACUUAUCAGCUUGCGGCAGAGGAGGUCAGGGCAGUACCGGAUGCAGCUGCGGGUAUGUUUCUUUCUUGAUAUCUUGUUAUCUUGUGAUUAUUGUGGUGUAAUGUUCAUGAGCUGGUAUUUUGUUUGGUUUUCUUUGUGAUAUUCGUCGUUUUGCCGGUUGGAGUUUUUGGUUUUGAUUUGGGUUUCGGGUUUUCGAUUUGGUAUCCGUUGUUCCCUGAGGGUUUGGUAUGGUUAUAGUUUGGUGAUUGUGCUGUUAUUGGUUAUAGUUCGUAAGGGUUAUUAGUGGAGAUGCGGCAUUGGGUUAUAUGUCGGGUAGCAUCUUCAUUCGUGGAAAGGAUAAUUGGAGAUCGGAUUCUUUUUGAGCGGAUUGAUCAGGGAGGAGAUGUGUUUUGCUAAGGGUUGUUUAUGCUUGUGGGAAGCAAUUCGUGUGUAAGUGGUCUCUUUGUGUAGGGUUGUUCUGGAAGAUCGUUGAUGGCGACUGGCGGUUGUUAGUCAGUGCUAUAAGUGGGGGAGAAUUGGAGAAUUCUCCGGGAGAUCGGUGAGUAUUUGAGGGUGCUUAGUUGUUGGGUUACAACAGUGUUCUGUCAGCCCAGAGUAUAGGCCGAUAGGAGCGAAUGUCAGGCAUGCGGGGCGAGCGACAGACCUAGGGCAUUUGAUUGUGGAGGCCUGGGAGCAGGCCGGGAUCGAGUAUGUUGAUGGAGUCAGAGUUCGGAACCCCUAGAGGGCUAGAACGGUAUGCAUGGGAGGAUUUCCGGAGGUGAUAACCCGGAAUGUCGAAUGCUAGUUGAGCGGUCCGGAUAGACUNAGACAGACCUAGGGCAUUUGAUUGUGGAGGCCUGGGAGCAGGCCGGGAUCGAGUAUGUUGAUGGAGUCAGAGUUCGGAACCCCUAGAGGGCUAGAACAGUAUGCAUGGGAGGAUUUCCGGAGGUGAUAACCCAGAAUGUCAGAUGCUAGUUGAGUGGUCUGGAUAGACUGAAGGCCGGCAGGCGUACCAGUCAGGCCGAAGGCUCGGAGAACGGUCCAGCCAAACUGAAGGCACUGAGAGUGGUCCAGAUUGGCUGAAGGUUUUGAGGGUGGUCCAGAUGGGCUGAAGGCCUGGUGAGGUGGUCCAGUCAUGCUGAAGACUCUGUAGGCAUUGUUGGAUCUGUUGAGGAUAUGGUUUGGGGUAUGUCGCAGUGUGUUUGCAUUAGAAGGUCUGGCCCCGGGUUGUGAUUUUGAUGAGUUGAGAGAGUGCAUGGGCUUGAGAGCCCCUGCGAUGAGAGCCAGAGUAUGUGGAUAGCGGAUACACAAAAAGGGUGGUGUCGCAUUCGGCGAGCACCGUGGCUCUUGUUGGAGUGACAAUGUGGCCAAGUGGAUUCCUUGGAAAAGGAAGAGAGAAAGGUGUAUAACCCCGAGAGGGAGUGCAAGUUCACGGAAGUGAAAACUGCAGAGCAGAGUUAUGAUUAGAGUAUUUCGAGUAUGGUUUUGGGCAUCGUGGUUGCGGAAGUGGAAUAGAAGCUCAUCCGGUUUGGGAUGUCUGCUGAGAUUGCGGAAGGAAUUCCGCAGGUGUAGGGCCAAGAGGCUUGGAAAGGAUGCAGGGGGGAGAGUCCUGGACUCUCAGUGUGAUUCUGUUCAGGGUAUUGGGCAUGUAUUAGUGGUUCAUCCUGGGGGAUGUUUGAGGGUGUCAUCAGUGUAUCGAGUUUUCCCAACCUGAGGGUGCUGGAGCUAGUUCAGCAUGUGUAUGUGAUUGUAAGAGGAGGACUCGUGGGAGUUGCUCUGAGAUAGAGAAUGGGUUUUUCCGUUGUCACGAAAUGGAUAGAGUGGAAUUCAGAUCGGGGAUCCGAUGGUUCAUGGUUAUCUAGCCUUUAUGAGUCGAGUGAUGGUUGUGAUUUGGAGCAGUGUUGCAUUAUGGGUAGUACUCAGGGGUUAAGUGAAGUUAUCAGAGGGUGAAUCUGGUGCCCUAUUUGAAACGGUGGUCAGGACACCGUGAGGAAAGGAAAGUGUGUUCGAGUUUCGUUUGGGUAUGCCUUGAGGGACUUGGUCUGGUUGAGGCCAGGUGGCGCAUUGCGGGAGUAUCUUUGGAGUUGAGCUGCUAUAGGCUUCGAGGGCGAAGCCUAAUAUAUGUGGGGGAGAAUUGUAACAUCCCGAAAUAGCAAGAGUAGAGUUGAAGGGCUAAAAGUGUUAUUUGAGGAAAGGUGACUNNNNNNNNNNNNNNNNNNNNNNNNNNNNNNNNNNNNNNNNNNNNNNNNNNNNNNNNNNNNNNNNNNNNNNNNNNNNNNNNNNNNNNNNNNNNNNNNNNNNNNNNNNNNNNNNNNNNNNNNNNNNNNNNNNNNNNNNNNNNNNNNNNNNNNNNNNNNNNNNNNNNNNNNNNNNNNNNNNNNNNNNNNNNNNNNNNNNNNNNNNNNNNNNNNNNNNNNNNNNNNNNNNNNNNNNNNNNNNNNNNNNNNNNNNNNNNNNNNNNNNNNNNNNNNNNNNNNNNNNNNNNNNNNNNNNNNNNNNNNNNNNNNNNNNNNNNNNNNNNNNNNNNNNNNNNNNNNNNNNNNNNNNNNNNNNNNNNNNNNNNNNNNNNNNNNNNNNNNNNNNNNNNNNNNNNNNNNNNNNNNNNNNNNNNNNNNNNNNNNNNNNNNNNNNNNNNNNNNNNNNNNNNNNNNNNNNNNNNNNNNNNNNNNNNNNNNNNNNNNNNNNNNNNNNNNNNNNNNNNNNNNNNNNNNNNNNNNNNNNNNNNNNNNNNNNNNNNNNNNNNNNNNNNNNNNNNNNNNNNNNNNNNNNNNNNNNNNNNNNNNNNNNNNNNNNNNNNNNNNNNNNNNNNNNNNNNNNNNNNNNNNNNNNNNNNNNNNNNNNNNNNNNNNNNNNNNNNNNNNNNNNNNNNNNNNNNNNNNNNNNNNNNNNNNNNNNNNNNNNNNNNNNNNNNNNNNNNNNNNNNNNNNNNNNNNNNNNNNNNNNNNNNNNNNNNNNNNNNNNNNNNNNNNNNNNNNNNNNNNNNNNNNNNNNNNNNNNNNNNNNNNNNNNNNNNNNNNNNNNNNNNNNNNNNNNNNNNNNNNNNNNNNNNNNNNNNNNNNNNNNNNNNNNNNNNNNNNNNNNNNNNNNNNNNNNNNNNNNNNNNNNNNNNNNNNNNNNNNNNNNNNNNNNNNNNNNNNNNNNNNNNNNNNNNNNNNNNNNNNNNNNNNNNNNNNNNNNNNNNNNNNNNNNNNNNNNNNNNNNNNNNNNNNNNNNNNNNNNNNNNNNNNNNNNNNNNNNNNNNNNNNNNNNNNNNNNNNNNNNNNNNNNNNNNNNNNNNNNNNNNNNNNNNNNNNNNNNNNNNNNNNNNNNNNNNNNNNNNNNNNNNNNNNNNNNNNNNNNNNNNNNNNNNNNNNNNNNNNNNNNNNNNNNNNNNNNNNNNNNNNNNNNNNNNNNNNNNNNNNNNNNNNNNNNNNNNNNNNNNNNNNNNNNNNNNNNNNNNNNNNNNNNNNNNNNNNNNNNNNNNNNNNNNNNNNNNNNNNNNNNNNNNNNNNNNNNNNNNNNNNNNNNNNNNNNNNNNNNNNNNNNNNNNNNNNNNNNNNNNNNNNNNNNNNNNNNNNNNNNNNNNNNNNNNNNNNNNNNNNNNNNNNNNNNNNNNNNNNNNNNNNNNNNNNNNNNNNNNNNNNNNNNNNNNNNNNNNNNNNNNNNNNNNNNNNNNNNNNNNNNNNNNNNNNNNNNNNNNNNNNNNNNNNNNNNNNNNNNNNNNNNNNNNNNNNNNNNNNNNNNNNNNNNNNNNNNNNNNNNNNNNNNNNNNNNNNNNNNNNNNNNNNNNNNNNNNNNNNNNNNNNNNNNNNNNNNNNNNNNNNNNNNNNNNNNNNNNNNNNNNNNNNNNNNNNNNNNNNNNNNNNNNNNNNNNNNNNNNNNNNNNNNNNNNNNNNNNNNNNNNNNNNNNNNNNNNNNNNNNNNNNNNNNNNNNNNNNNNNNNNNNNNNNNNNNNNNNNNNNNNNNNNNNNNNNNNNNNNNNNNNNNNNNNNNNNNNNNNNNNNNNNNNNNNNNNNNNNNNNNNNNNNNNNNNNNNNNNNNNNNNNNNNNNNNNNNNNNNNNNNNNNNNNNNNNNNNNNNNNNNNNNNNNNNNNNNNNNNNNNNNNNNNNNNNNNNNNNNNNNNNNNNNNNNNNNNNNNNNNNNNNNNNNNNNNNNNNNNNNNNNNNNNNNNNNNNNNNNNNNNNNNNNNNNNNNNNNNNNNNNNNNNNNNNNNNNNNNNNNNNNNNNNNNNNNNNNNNNNNNNNNNNNNNNNNNNNNNNNNNNNNNNNNNNNNNNNNNNNNNNNNNNNNNNNNNNNNNNNNNNNNNNNNNNNNNNNNNNNNNNNNNNNNNNNNNNNNNNNNNNNNNNNNNNNNNNNNNNNNNNNNNNNNNNNNNNNNNNNNNNNNNNNNNNNNNNNNNNNNNNNNNNNNNNNNNNNNNNNNNNNNNNNNNNNNNNNNNNNNNNNNNNNNNNNNNNNNNNNNNNNNNNNNNNNNNNNNNNNNNNNNNNNNNNNNNNNNNNNNNNNNNNNNNNNNNNNNNNNNNNNNNNNNNNNNNNNNNNNNNNNNNNNNNNNNNNNNNNNNNNNNNNNNNNNNNNNNNNNNNNNNNNNNNNNNNNNNNNNNNNNNNNNNNNNNNNNNNNNNNNUUUAAAAUUGGUUGUAUUUUUCGGCUGUUACAAAUAUAUAUAUAUAUAUAUAUAUAUAAAAUAAAAUUAAUUAAAAAAUAAAUUAAUAAAGACUGUUUUUAAGUUACCACAACAAAAACAAACAAGGACUUUCAUUUUUGACAAUAUCCACAUGUUCCAUUCCUUUCGUCGAUUCCCACAAUCAUGUUGUUCUCCUCAUCGAUUUUCAUAGCUCGCUGCCUGCUUUUCAUUCCCUAUGCCCCAUAUAUCCACAGCCCUCCGUCUUCCUUCCACUUGCGUCAAUUUCCAAGUGCAGAAACGACAACCAAAUUCGAUUUGAAUCUAUCUGAAAUCGCUACCAAAUCAAAUCAUUUGAGUCCAUCCUUAAAUUUUACAAUUUAAAAGAGACUGCUGAUUUUUCAAUAAUGAAUUCAUUGUUGCACAUGGUUCUUUUAAGAAAAGAUUAAUGCAUAUUAACUGUUUGAUGAAAUGCCUAGCUUUUUUUUUUUCUUUUUUAAUUAAAGCCAUAAGACUAAUCGAAAACAACUACUAAUAUUUAUAGGAAAUAACUACCUUAGCUUCCAAGCAUGCUAGGAAUAGAAUGGUGAGUUCAAAAUGUUCCAGGGCUGGGUUAUUAGUUAUUAUAAGAUACAGAAGAUGUAAUUGAAUAAGUAUAACUACAACAUUCUUAAAAUUGUCUCUCGUGUUGAGAACACAUAAAAUGAAUAAGUAACACUCAAACCACAUAAACUGAAUAUAAAAUCACAGCAAGCGAAAGCAGCAGAGUGCAGCAUCGGUAUUAUAAAUAUAAAGACAUACAAUAGUUAAACAUUCUUGCUUUUAUUUUUUCUUUUUUUCUUUUCAGUAAUACAACACAGUGCUUUUAUGUUAGUGUUAAAAUUCUUAUGAAUUCUUCAACAUGUAACUGAAAACUUCUUCAUAUAUUUUGUAAAACUCUAUACAUAUUUGUAUUUGAGUUUAUAGUUAUUUGACAUAAAUUGUAUAAUAUUUUUUUGUAUUGUAUACAAUUAGGUUACCAAUGUUAUUUUGCUACUUUUUACAUGUAUUGACAUUCCAAGUGAUGGAAAAAGUGCUAAUUUCACCUGAAAAUAAAACUUAUGAAAACCCGCUGCAAAACUACAGAUGAAACUUUUGUAGCCAAAUUUCUAGAAGGAUUGCAAUUUUCAUUGACUUAUUAGUUUAUCUACUACAUAAUGAUAUAAGAAAUCAUAUCCAGAGACCGGAGUAUCAUAACAAGUAGGCAUUUAAGUGAAGAUAUAAGAAAACAUAUCAUUAGUAUUUUUAACAAUAAGGCAUUUAAUUGCACAAAUAUUAUCAUGGUGCAUCAUAGGAAACUACAAAAAAUAAAGAACAUUAGAAGUGCACUGUAUCAGGCCUUCAUCAACAGAUUUGAAACUUGGAGCAUGGUUGGCCUUUCUACUGGAUUGGAGUUCAAACAUGCUCUUGAGAGUGUAAGCACCAAUGCAACUUGUUCCUCAACUUGUGAGGGAGGAGGUAUCCGACUAUCUCUCAGAUUUGCUUGCACCAGAUGAUCAUCAGAUAAUGUUGGUAAAGAUGUUAUGAGUUCUCCAGGAUGCUUUCCCAUGACCACUUCUAGUGCAACAACUCCAAAGCUAUACACAUCACAUUUCUCUGUUGCCACCAUCGUAUAAGCAAGCUCUACAUCCAAACAAAAAUAAGAUAAAAAUAAAAACAGCUAUAUCAACCUCACAUAAUUGUAACAUAGAUACAUUUAUGUACAUCAUGAAACAUAAUAAGAUGUAGAACAACAAUCACAAGAUUACGUUACCUGGCGCGAUAUAACCAUAUGUUCCAGCAAUUGUAGUCCAAUUGGAUGAGUCUAGCUUUAAAAGCUUGGAUGUCCCAAAAUCAGAAAUAUGUGCCUCAUAAUCAGAAUCAAGAAGGAUAUUGGCAAUGGAAAUGUCUCUAUGAAUUAUAGGAGGUGAGCAGUCAUGAUGCAUAUAAGCCAAACCGUUAGUAAUAGCCUUUAUAAUAUUGACCCUUUUUAACCAAUCCAAUUCUUUUGCUAGCACGUCACUUUUUAAGAUUGAUCCAAGGCUGCCAUUUUCAAGGUAUUCAUAAAUCAAAAUUGAGUGGCGAGCGUGGGAGCAAUAUCCAUAAAGUUUCACUAUGUUUCGAUGCCUUAUGUUCGUUAAUGCUCGUAUCUCAUUAUGGAAUCCAUUACUAUCAACAUUCUCAGAUGAUGAGUGAAGUUUCUUGACAGCUACCACAUUGUUAGGCUUUAGCUCAGCUUUGUACACGGCCCCAUAUCCUCCAACCCCAAUACAAUAUCCUUCAUCGAAAUCAUUUGUUGCUUUCAAGAUAUCAGCAUACACUAUUUUUCCAUCAAAACCUGUAAUGGAAAAGUAAUCAAUACUUUCUUCUUCCAAUGGUUUCUGUGGAGACUUUUUCUUUUGUUGUCGAUAAGCAAUGAGGCCAUACGUGAAUAAACCAAGUAAAACUACCCCCAUAAGGGGGAGCAGAAUUAUGAGCAUGAGCCUAUAAUGAAAUGGAUCGUUUUUCUUCUUCAAAAUUUUACUUGCACAAAGUUGCAAUCCUGUAGCAUUUCCACACAAACCUGGAUUGCCUUGUAUGGACGCAUUCACAAAGUUGGGGCUUUGAGGAACUGCACCUGUGAGCUCAUUGUAAGACAGGUCGAUAUCAAUUCCGCCAGGCAAAUUUGUAAAAGCAUUAGGAAUGGAACCGGAUAGCAUAUUGUGGGAAAGAUCUAAUAUCUUCAAAUCUUGCAAACUUUGAACUUCAGAUGGUAUCUCUUCUGUGAGCAAAUUCCGAGAUAAAUCAAAUUCUGUAAGAUGAACUAAUUUACUAAUGUCGGAUGGAAUUUUUCCACUGAGCUUGUUAUUACUAAGAUUCAGGUAAUGGAUUUGUGCCCAUUGACCAAUACUUACCGGUAUCGACCCAUUCAAUCUAUUUGUGGAUAGAUCCAGUUCAAGGAGUUCACGGAAUGAUCCAAGCUCCAGAGGUAUGGUGCCUGAAAGUUGGUUAUUAGACAAGUAUAAAUUCAGCAUACUUAUCAUCUUCCCAAAUUCUUUAGGGAUUUCGCCUACCAAGUUAUUAAAAGAAAGAUCAAGCCUUUGUAGUUGAGUUGAAUUUGCAAACUCUGGUGGUAUGCUACCACUAAGUUUGUUUUGGCUCACAUCAAGAUCAUUGAGAGACUUGAAAUUCCCAAGUUCAAUUGGAAUGGGACCCGAUAAAUUGUUCCCAUCAAGGUACAAAGAUUGUAGAUUGCUCAUGUUUGCUAGUGACAAAGGAAUAGAACCACUAAGUUGAUUGUUGCUUAGUGCAAGUUCAGUGAGAGACUUCAAAUUCCCAAGUUCAAAAGGAAUGAGACCAGAAAAAUUAUUCUUUUGUAGGAACAUACACUGUAGGUCACUAAGGUUUUCUAGCGAGGAAGGAAUAGAACCACUAAGUACAUUUUCACUCACUUGAAAAUUAGUGAGAGCCUUCAAAUUCCCAAGUUCAAUAGGAAUCGGACCAGAUAAUUUAUUCAUAUCGAGGAACAGAAAAUGGAGGUUGCUCAGGUUUGCAAUUGAUGAAGGAAUAGAACCACUAAGUGUAUUGUUGCUUACCAGAAGCCUAGUGAGAGACUUCAAUUUCCCAAGAUCAAUAGGAAUUGGACCAGAUAACUUAUUAUGAGCUAGGUUCAGACGAUAUAGGUUGCUCAUAUUUCCUAUUGAUGAACGAAUGGAACCAGAGAGCUGAUUUUGGUACAAAGAAAGGACAUUUAAAGAUGUCAAAGCACCCAAUGAUGAAGGAAUUGAGCUAGAUAGAUUGUUUGAGUAUAAGUAUAGGAACUCAAGUGAGACCAUGCUUCCUAUUUCAGGUGGGAUUUCACCAGAAAACUGAUUCUGUGAAAAAUCAAGAUAGAUAAGUUUGGAGAGGAGUCGGAUUUGUGGUGGGAUAGGGCCAAAGAAGCUGUUUACCCUGAGAUCAAAACGUGUAAGAUUUUGUAGCAAAAAGAAUGAUAUUUCUUGAAGCGUGCCUCUUAACCCAGAAGAUGUGAGAUUCAACUUCUGAAUGCUCCCAUCAGCAUUGCAAACUACUCCAAACCAAGAAGUGCAUGGGACUGAUGCACUAGAAUUCAUAGGGAGGGGCAUCCAUGAAGAGAGCGAGGAUUUGUUUGUGAUUUCAAGGCUAGCUUUCCAUUUAAGAAGAUUAUUGGCUUCCUCCAAAGAAGCAGAAGCAAAAUUUGGUAUGGGCAAGAGUACUGUAAUGAUUAGUAGAGUUAGAGAGAAAAGUAAGAAGUUUGAAGAAGACAUUAUUUGCUUUGCCAUGUUGUGUUUUAAAAAAUGAUGGUAUCCUGAUUUAUACAUGAGCUGCCCUUUCAUCUUGUAUAUUUCAUUUCCUCUUAUUCGGAAAAGUAAUUUAUGGCAAUUUCAUAUUUUUCCACAAGAAUGUCUUUUAUGUAGAAGCUAAUGUCAUACAUUUCCACAAAGGACUUAUUACACUUUGAAUUGUAUUCCUCGUGACAAUCUAGCUAUAAGAAGAAAAAGAAAAGAAUGUUAGAAAAGAAAUAAAAAAUAAUUGGUUACCAAAAAGACGUAGUAUAUAAUGUCAAUGUUGGAUUUAAUAGUGUAAUAUAUAUAACUUAACUGGAUCAUUAGUUGGACAUAUAUAUAUAUAUAUAUAAACGAGCCACUGCCAAGCAAGUAACUAACGGAGGAGCAGCAACAAAAAAACAGACGAUAAAUUUUAGUACAAGUUUCAGUUGAUUUACUUCAGAUUUACAUUAGGUAAAACUGAUACCAAUAGUUAGAUGGAUGUCAUGUCCAAGUUGCGUUAUUGAGUUCAUGGAGAUGGGGUCGGAUCGAUGUGGCCAUUUGAGAAUAUUUAAUAAAUCGAAUGAUUCUCAUGCAUUCCUUGAACAUGUGAACGCGAUAACAUUAAGAUAAAUACGAGGAUAAUAAAUAUAAAGAAAGUGAUGUUAUUAUUAUUAUUAUUAUUAUUAUUAUUAUUAUUAUUAUUAUUUUGUUUUCUCUAUUGAAUAGCGUCUAAAACAUAUCAUACCUUGACUAAAACUAAAGCUACUUAAAUAAAAUGUUACUAAUAGAGAAUUUCAUAUAUGCCUUUCUUCAACUUCAAAAAAAUCAUAUUUGUCAAGCUUAAUUUUUGAAUAUCAUAUUUUCCUUUCAUAAACCUUCAAAAUAUCAUAUUUGCCCAAAUCUUUUUUUAUAAUGUUUUUAAUAUUUUAUAAUCAUUUUUUAUAUCUGAGAGUUAUUAUAAUAAUUAAAAAAUUUAACCAUAUUAUCCUUACGUCUAUGAUAAUGGAAUGUGAAUUUCUAAAUUGUUGGAAUGUCGCCUCUUGACAAACAAAAAGAUUCAUCUUCAACCCUCUUAAUGGAAUGUAUAUUUUUAUUGUUUAGUUUUUUGUUGUUGAUUAUUAUCAUGUUGUAGAUGGAGGAUGUUUUAAAUAUUACCAUUGAUAUUUUGAUGUUUAAAAAGUACAUAUACGAUAUUUUGAUAUUUAAGAGGGUGUUUGGCUUAGCUUUUAAAAGCUUAAAAGUUCUUUUCCAAAAAGUUACAAAAAGUCAAGAAAUCCUGACUUUUCCAAAAAGUUGUUUUUCCUUGUAUUAAAAUUUCAAAAGUUACUAGCUUACCAAAUAUCUUUUUGUUUUUUUUCUUUUACAAAAAGGAUUUUUGACUUAGAAAAGCUAACCCAAACACCCCUUAUGUAGGGCAUAUAUGAUAUUUUGAUGUUUAAAAAUGACAUAUAUGAUAUUUAGAAAUUUUAUGAUGGGUAAAUAUGAUAUUUAGAAAUUAAGCUGGGUAAUUUUGAUAUUUUAAUGUUUAAGAAAAACAUAUAUGAAGUUCUCCAUAACAUUGAAUAAAGGGAUAUAAUCUCACAAAAAGCACCAUAUAUUCUUAAAAGAGGUUUUUAACAAAUAAGUUAAAUCACUAUAUAUAUACAUAUAUAUAUAUAUAUAUAUAUAUAUGUAUAUNAUAUAUAUAUAGAGAGAGAGAGAGAGAGAGUGACACUUAGAUUAUUGUGUUUUUACUAAGUAUUGUGUUCGAGCCAAUCAUUUGUGGUAAUUUAAGUAGGGGUUUUAUAUUUAUUAACUAAUUAAAAAUAAUCAGUUUAAUCGGAUUUCAUGAUAAGGGUAUUUUGGACAAUUAAUUAUAUUUAAAAAAGGAAAUUUUCGAAAAUUUAAGGAUAACUAAUUCUUGUAAUUUUUAAAAUCUGAAAAUUUUAAACUAAUUCCACAGAUCGAUCAAUAGGUCCAGACACCACUUCAUGAUUAUCAAGAAAACACUCAAAUAAAAUCACGUUUAUCAAACGAGCCCUACAGGGUCAAUUCUCAAUUCUUAUUUCCGUUUCCAAAGUGUUCUCCUCCCGUGCUCCUGUCAUCUUUCACUGUGGGUGGUUUAGGAUGGAUCGCAUAGCAUGAAGAGUCGAUGAUGUAGAUGAUGGCGGCAUUGGCUGGCAGCCAAGAUGAUGAUAGUUGUAGACGAUGGUUUUUAGAGAAAGAUGGGGAAAGGGUGGUGGUGUCAUAGGGUUGUGAAACUGAUAACCUAAUUUAAAGGGAAUAUUAUUUGAUUUUAUCAAUUUACCAUAAUUAAUUACAGUAUAGAUUACUAUUAUAGUCUUAUAUUUAUUAUUCAUGAUAUAUGUUUUCUUAAAUUCUCAUUGGUUCAUACAUGCACAUAAUAGUGGUUAGAAACAUUUGCACUCAUCUCUCUCUCUCUCUCUCUCUAUAUNNNNNNNNNNNNNNNNNNNNNNNNNNNNNNNNNNNNNNNNNNNNNNNNNNNNNNNNNNNNNNNGAGAGAGAGAGAAUACUUUUUUUGUUAAAAAAGGUUUGGAGAUGCAUAGUCGUCCAAAAUUGGAUAUCUUUUGUGGUUUUGGUGCAUCAAACUUAAUUUUUGUGAAUUUGGUCCAUAAAAAACCAAAAAUAAUGAAAUAUGCCCCUUAAGUAUUUUUUUUAAUUUCGUUAAUUUAAUUCCUUUAUUAUUAAAUCCACAUCUCCAAUUGUUCACAAUUUUUUGGGUUUCAAUAUAUUUUUAGAAGAUUGGUUUUCCUAUUGUAAAUCUCCAUUUUCUCUACCUAGAGUUCGAUAUGUUGUGGCUUCAAUCUACUGAAUUUCUUGAAGACAAAAUUGCAAAAAUGGUCCUUGUGUUUGUCAAAAUUCUGUGAUUAUGGUCCAAAAAAGUUUGGUGGUGCAUCAGUAGUCCAAUUUUGGAUACCUUGUGUGCUUUUGGUCCUUAUGGUUGACAUUUUUGUGCGGUUUUGGUCCAUUGUCUACCUGAAAUGACAAAAAUACCCUUAACUGAUUCUUUUUUGUUUUCUUUUAAUUGUAUUAUUACUAUAUAAUUAAAAAUAAAUAUAAAAUAAAAUUUCAUCACUCUUAAAGACAAUAAAUCUCUCUCUCUCUAUCUAUCUCUCUCUCUCUCUCUAUCUCUCUCUUUCUUUCUCUCUCUCUCUCUCUCUCUCUCUCUCUCUCUCUCUCUCUCUUCAUUGUGUUGGAGACUGGACCACCAUCGUUAUUGAACCACCACCACCUGUUAGUCUUCCACCGCCACCGUCACUUACCCAAACCACCUAGCAUCCCUUCCAGAAAAAUGAGAUAUGUAAUUGAAAGUCAGAAAAAUAGGAUAUGAUGUUGUCGUAGAAGAUGAUGGAGCUCGACGAAGCUUUUGAGUUUUCAGUCGUUGUUCUUCAUCUUUCAGUGAUGAGGGUUUUCUGCCACCACCACCACAUUUUUUAGCUUCUGCAAAUCUCCUUCCGCUGCCACCAUUCUCAUUUUCUGAAACCCCAACGUUGUCGCCCUUAGAUAAGGGUUUUGGUUCGAGAUCUAUUUAGGGUUCUCUAUAGGGAUGUGAUGGUACCUGGUGGGGAUAGUCAUCGACAGAGAUGUCCGACAACCUAGCGUCGCCGAUCUGUUCUUUAGAACUGUUGAUUUGAUCGAUUUAGACUGGGAUGGGAUGCAAACCCAGGUCUUGGUAAAUGGUGAGAAGAUGGUGGAGCUCGAGGAAUAGUGGUGGUAGAGGGUCAUCAGGUUAAGGAAAGAGAGGUGUGUAAAUGUGGUGGGAUGGAGGUGGUUGGCAGUGAAUGGUGGUGACGAACGACGUUGGGGUGGGGUUUAAUUUUUGGGCUUGAGCACCCCUUGCACUAAUUCGGGCACUGAGUAUGUUUAUGAUCACUUUGUUUAGAUCUAAGCAAAAAAGGGAGUUGUUAAUGGUGGUUUUCAGCUUUCUUAGUGGUUUCCGGCGAGGCAGUGCUAGAAAGGACGAUAUGGGUGGGGUGGAUUACGACAAAUAGUGGUGGUGAACGAUGGUAUGGUGGCCGUUGGUGAACUUUUACUUAUUUAAUGAUUCAGAGAUGGGGGUACGGGUGAUGAAAAUGGAGGUGGUUGGCAGCAGAUGGUGGUGGUUGGUGGCGAAUGAUGGUGGUUGGCAUCCAUUAAGGGUGACAUUUCUAGUGAGUGUGUGUGUAUGUUUCUGUUGAGAUAGACGGAAGAGAAAAAGGGUAGGUGGGUCAUUUUUAUUUUUUUGUAAGUUAAAAAAAUAUAAGUUAAAUAAUUUUUAUAUUUCAACAAUUAAAGAAAAUGAAAAAUAGAAAUUAUAAGGGCAUAAUCGUCUUUUUAAGUUACAGGGACCAAAAACAAUAAAAAGAUCAAAUUUUGGACCAAUGGUGCACCAACAUUUUGUUUUGGACCUAAAACACAUAAAAUUGCCAAUCACAGGGACCAUUUUUGCAAUUUGGUCAUUUCUUGAAGUAAUAGUUUUUAUGCUUUCUUUUUAAUUCCUACGAGUACUCGAUUAGAUAGCUAUUGAACCCGUUUUAUCACCAUGGUUCUUGAAGUAUAUGGGUGUUUGAGUUUGGGUUCUUGAUUUGUUUAAUUAUUUUUACCUUGGAUUUUGAAAUGAAUUCGUGGCUUCAGGGUUUAGGCCCAAAUCCUUUAGCUUUUAAAGUUGAUAUAUUUUUUCAUAUGUAAUUUUCAUUUGAGCAUCAAGUAAUAAUAUCAAUGCAAUCUAUUCUAUAACAUGGUAUCAUAGCCAAUUUGAUUCCGUACGUUGACAGUCGAUCCAUCGGAAACCCAGCCGGUGUCGUUGUUGGGCCGGAGCCCUUAAAAAGCUUUCCCUCUCAUUUUAGAUAUCAUAUCUUCCUUAAAGUAGCCACUGCCACUCCAUUCAUUUUUCUUAUUCUAUUAUCUUACUUUUAAUCAAUAACACCAACGCAUGAUCAAAAUUUUCUUUUCUAAUUUUGUUUCUUUCUUUCUUUUGCCACCAUCCACCUUUUUUAUUAGCCGAUAUCUUUAAUUAUUAAAGGGCUUCUAUCCCAGCGGUAUCGGGUGUGCCCUGCCUCCUAGAGGUUGAGGGUUCAAAUCGCAAUGAAGACAUAGGUGGAAUUAGGAGUAGUUUUGGACUAGAGUAGAUUUGUCGUUCUAAAAAAAAUAAAUAACCCAUAAAACACAAUUUAUCUCUUUAAUAUUGAUUGCUAAUCCCAUACAAGAACUGACGAAAAUGUUUCUGGGUUAAUUAUGCUUUGAUCUUUUUGGCGAGACCUCACUUUCACCAUUGUCCUCUUCUCCUCCACCAACAACUCUCGUGCACCAGGCCAUCGUCGCCAUCACUCUGUCAUUCUGGAUUUACGCCGUGGCACCACCUUGGCACCAUCCUAUGCCUCGACCUAGCUCUCCUCAUUGACUUCACCAAGCCGCCGUCUUCGUGUUGCCUCCUUGACGACUCAUUUGCUUUGCUUCUCUCUCAUCUAAGGCUAACUUUCAUUCGCUUCUUCUCAGCAUGACGAAACUUUGUCAGUACACCAUAACUCUUCUUUUGAAUGUGUGUCACCGUCCCUUACCACCUUUGUUGCCUUCUCCACCAUCUUUUAUGCAAGUCUUACAUAACCUGACAGAACCUUAUCUUUUUCCAUCGCUGACAUCACCAGAGCUCCCGAUCUCGCGGGAACCCUAGCAACUUCCCACACCAAGUUCAUCAAAGUUCCUGUUCUUCCCUUCUCCUCCUGUUACAUCAUGCUCUCUUCGCCAAAGUCGUAAUUAUUGCAUCGCCUGAUGGAACUGUAGCUAUUUCCGACAACAUCGUCGAAGCUCUAGCUCUUACCUUCAUUACUAUCUCCUGCUCAUGUUCAAUAUUUUUUUAUUUUCUUUAUUUUUCAGUUUUGUCAUCCUCCCUAUUUUCUUUAUUGUGUCAGUUUUUUNUUUAGUUUCAUCGUCCUCUUGAUCAAAAUGCGGGGAUGUUAGAGGGCUUUAGGGUUUAGGCCCAAAGCCUUUAGGGUUUAUAGUUUAUCUAUAUAUUGGCAUGUAAUCUUCAUUUAGGCAUCAUGCAAUACUACCACAACAAUUUUUUCUAUACCACAAACCACUCAGUUUCGAUAUAACCCUCUAGAAGAUAAUAUUUAUUUUUUUGGGAUUCUUGAAAUAUUUAUUCAUCAUGCGAGAAACAUUCAUAACAUAAGUAUCUAAAAACAAAGAUGUUUAUGCUAAGUUCUCCCUUACUUAUAACCCUGAUGAAACCUUAUCAAACAUGAUCAUCACUGGUGGUGGUAAAAACCCAAAUCUAAUGAGAAAUUGGUGAACAAAAUCAAUUAAUUCAAUGUUGUUUCCAACUGUGAAAUAUAUAUGCCUAGUAGCGCUAAGAAUUUCAUGGAAAUUCAUCUUUUGUGACUUUGUUUAGUUUCAUGAACUUUAAUUAUUGAAGAAGGAGAGUUAACCAAACAUUUUAGUCUUUCUUCCACUAAUUUAUUUCAUUCUGCUACUAGUACUUUUAGAUAGUCAUUUUUAAAUACUAAUUUACACUUUAAUUAUUCCCUUAUUUCUUCCAACAGUUCACCCAUAACAUAUGAAAUCAUUUUGUUAGAUCUAAAGAUGUUUGAUGUUUCUAAUGAUAUAGAAUUCCUAGAUAUCAAUAUAGCUUGACAAAAGGGCUUCUAGCCCAAUGGUAUCUGGUGUUGCCCUCCCUCCUUGAGGUUGAGGGUUCAAGUCCCGUCGUGGACAUAGGGGGAUUUAAGGUGUAUUUUAGGAGUAGGUUAGAUUUUCCGUUUAAAAAAAUCAAUAUAGCUUGAGAAAAUUAACAGAUGAUUCCCAAAGAAAAUGAAUACACAAACAUCAUCGGUAAGACAUGAGAAACGGCUAGUAACGAAUGUAGUUGGUAUAAGCUCAAGGGGGUUUAUUUAAAAAGGUCAGUGUCCAUCAUGCUAGAUUCAAUGAAGUUGAUUCUCACUUACAGGUUGAGGGACGGAUCAAAUAUCAAAGAAUAAUUUGACAAUUUUUGAUUAUUUAUUCAUGAGGUUAAAGGAAAUAUGUUUGAAGCUCUAUGAUGAGCUUUUUUAUAUGAUAUUGUAACUUUCUCUUCUUCAUAGGUAUAUCAAUUUGGCAAAUAGUGUAACAUCCGGAUUUCCAGGUAUUGAGUAUUUAUUUUUUGAGUCAAGGAGAGGGACUCGACGAGUUGACACCUAAACUCGUCGAGUAGGAUCCCGACUGCUGACUAUGAUUAAUGAAUGGACUCGACGAGUCAGUGAGUCGACUCAACGAGUCCGCGUUGUGGAUAGAAACCCUAAAUCUUUGGGCUUGUGCCCUAUUUAAGGGUCCUUAUGGCCUUCAUUUGAGGCCACUCAUACCCUGGAGAAACUUUAGCGAGCCAGAGAUGGCCUUCAUUUGCAACCACUCAUACCCUGGAGAAACCUUAGCGAGCCAGAGAGCUUAGAGAGAGAGAGAGAGAGAGAGAGAGAGGGCUAGUUUCACCACCAUAGUGCAUUCUUGCAAGGAAGGAAGGAAGAUUCAAGCUAGGCUGCUUAGAGGGGGCUCAAAACUUCUUCUAUUUCUUCAAGGGCUUCUGUUUGAGGUAUGAAUCCAUGCCUAUUUUUGUGUAUAAAGUAGAUUUAUGGAAUCUAGGGUAUCUUUACCCUUUCUUUAGUUGGAUUAUGGAGCAUGUGAAUUCCCAUUGUGUAACAACCCGAAGUUUUCCAUCGUCGAAAACCCGUUCUACCCGUAAAGAUUCGCCGUUUAUCAAUUCGUUCCGUUUUCGUUUUGGGUUAAAUUAUUUAAACUUAUAUGUUUAUUAUAAUCUAAUGAGUUUCCAAACCCCUUAGGAACUCAUGAAAUUAGCCCAAAAUGUUUAUUUCAGAAAUUAUAGAAACGUCCCCGCCGGGUUACGGAAACUUAAUCGGGUGCGACCAAAAGCCCCGUUUAAUGCCGGUAUCGGGUAGAAUUCUACCGUGUCCAAGUUUUGGGACCUAUUUAAAUGUGUUUAAACAUUCAUUUGAAGCUUUUUCUUCCUCCCUCUACUCUCCCUUUAACCUCUCUCCUAAAUCCAAGUUUAAGGGUCCAAAUCUCAAAUUUAAGGCUUCUAAUCACCAAGGUACCUUCCCUAGCUUGUUAUGCAACCCCUCUAGCCUUCAAAUUCGAGUUCAAAUCAUGGAAUAGGACCACAUUCAUGAGUUUAUGGCCCUGGAACAGUCCUAGGCCGUGAUCUCAUAUAAAAUGGGUUUUGGAGCCCAAAAACCCUUCCAAUCGACCUUUGGAGCUUAGAUAUGGCUUAAUGGCUUAAUGGACCGGACUUAGAAUGCCUUUAACAUGGAUUUUGAAGAGUAAACAUGAGUUUAUUACCCAAGAACAUACUUGGGCCGUAAACUCAUAUAAAUGGGGUUUUUAUGCCCUUAAACCCUUCCAAAACACCAACAAGGCUUAGAUACGACUUGUAGAAUUAUGGAAUUGGCCUUGGAACACCUUGAACAUCAAUUUAGAGGAGUAAACUUGAGUUUACUGCCCAAGAACAUGCUUGGGCCGUAAACUCAUUGUUCUUGGAGAGUAAACUCCUCUAAAUGUGUUAAAAUGCCACUUUAACACACCUAAAGCCUUGGGAUAAAUUCUAGAAGUGUUUACAAACAAGUUUUGGACCUUAAAACAUAUAAAAUCAACCUUUCAUAAGAGUUCACGGCCAUGAGGGUGUUCAUGGGCCUUAAACUCCUAAAAGUAUGCCAAAAGUCCCUUAAAAAUUCAUACAAGGCUUGGGAAAAAUCAUUAGAAUCACAUGUGAUUGUUUAAGGACCAAAACAUUAAGGAUUUGAAGUGAGGGGGAGUUUACGGCCGUAAACUCCAUGUUUAAAGCCAUAAACUCCAAUAAAUGGUCCCUAUGUGUGUUAUAAGCCAUUCCAAAGCCAAAAACCCAAGUCUAGCAAUUAUUCCCGAGUGUUAUGAAGCCAUUUUGCACCCAAAAUCAACCUCCAUGAGUUCACGGCCGUGAACUCAUAUGGAUGAGGUGUUUAGGGUAGUAAACUCCCUAAAAAGUAUACUCUUGAAGAGUAAACUCAAUUCCCAAGUCCCACGCAUCAAUACACGUCCGUAGAUGUCACCCGGGUCACUCCAAACACUUGUUUUGAAGUGUUUUCGCUCAUUGGAGUGUAAUAUCCUAUCUAAUUAGAACUUAUAAAUCUAAUUAGAUAUAUUUGUAUGCCAUUUCGUAUUAUAUAGGAACCUCGCAUGUUAUUAAGCCUUGAAUCGACACUUAGCAUCCGGAACGUCGCGUUUCUCAACUGGUGAGUUCAUACCCCUACCCUUUUUCACUGUUUUCAUUGUUUUCAGGGGGGAAUACAAACAAAAGUACAAGAAAUACAUGUACUCAAAACUUGUUUUACAUACAUUGUGUUUCACAUAUAUAUANAUAUAUGCUUUUGAAACUGACAGUCGUAAUAAACAACAGUUUGAACCUACAGAACACAUUAUUAUGUUAUUUGUGAAACACAUUAUAAAUUGUUAUAUUUAUAUUUUCACAAAUGUUUUCUCACAAUAUAGCAGUUAAAAGCAUAACAUUUAAACAUAGUUUUGUCCUCGGUGAACACUCCACAGACAUCGGAAAACAUAAAACAUUUGUAAUGUCCUUAAUAAAACACCCUAGGCUCGAGUGUAAAGGACAGACACCAUUAGAAAACAUAAAACAUUUGUAAUGUCCUUAAUAAAACACCUAGGCUCGAGUGUAAGGGACAUGAUCCAUUAGAACUUAGAUAGUCAUAGAUACUACUUCCCUAGGCACGAGAAGUAAAGGUAAUCUUAAAGAUUAGAGACACGUCCUCUGUAAUACUUCCUUGGCUCGAGAGAGUGGAGGACUACCCCUGUAACCAGAAUCUUCGAAUGUAGGAGAGCAUGGAUUGAGUGUAUAGAUCUAUACGGGACUGACAAUCCCGCACCUGGCUGCUAGCUACAGUCGAACCGAAAGGUUCAACGGUGACGAAAUUCAUAAAAAAAGGAUACUGGCCCUGGCCCGAGUCAUAUCUCGUCUGAAGUAUGGUUAAGGACUCGCAAUCAAGAUUAUUAACGCUUUACCCUUAUUUAUUAGUUUUAUGUACGUAGUAAAACUAAUGUACGUUUGAGGACAAUCGGAAUCGGUAAUAGUUCGCACCUACAGAAUCGGUAACAGUACACACACACACAUUCAGGAAAACAUGGGGUUUUCCUGGGGAUAACAUUGAACAUAAUCGGAAUCGGUAACAGUUCACACACCCACACAUUCAGGAAAACAUGUGGUUUUCCUGGGGAUAACAUUGAACAUAAUUGGAGUCGGUAACAGCUCACACACCCACACAUUCAGGAAAACAUGGGGUUUUCCUGGGGAUAACAUUGAACAUAAUCGGAAUCGAUAACAGUUCGCACACACAGAAUCGGUAAUAGUACACACACAUGUAGGAAAAUAUAGGAUUUUCUUGAGUAACAGUAGUACGUAACCAGAAAAGUAUAACAGGUUAGAUAACUACACUUUACAAUUCACGAGAACAAUUACGAUUUCAGUGUACAUCUUUUACAUUACAAUUUGGAUUUGGUAAACAUUACUUUUAAGAAAAUAUGGGAUUUUCUUGGAUAACCGCUUUUUCAGGAAACCAAAGGAACUCGUAAAACUUUCAGAAAACCAACCGCUUAUGAACUCACCAGCUUUAUGCUGAUUUUCAAACCGCUUGUAUUCUUAGGUCCGCAUUAGACAUGUACCCGGUGAUCACUUUUGGCGAAGACGGAGUGCGUAGAGGACUCGUCUCAUUUUGUUCAUAUAUGUUAUGUAUCACACUUGUACAAUUUACUUUUGAAACAAAUGUAAACUUUUAUAUAUGUAAUGUAAUGGUUGUCUACUUUGCUUACUAUGUGCAUUGGUUUGAUACUCAACGUGGAGUCCGCCCCGGAAAUGUUUCCGCCUUUGGUUUUCGGGGUGUGACACAUUGAGGGAUAGAAUUUAGAUCUGGACCUUGAGAGGUUUAGAAUGUCUCAACAACCAAGCUUUAUCAUGUUACAUGAGAGUAUUGAGCCUAUGACUCCAUUUUUUGAGCUACUUCUUCAAAUAGAGCUAUAUGUGCGAUGCAUGAACGUAAAGUUCAGACCUUUACAUGAAUUUUGGGUGUUAGAAGGUCAGAUCUAGAGGUUAGAGAAACAGAUCUGACCUCAGAAGGUCAUUUGAGAAUUCUCAUGGAAGAAACUCGUCGAGUCCGUGAGCGGACUUGACGAGUUGGAUCGUGUUGCACCACGAUUCGUGAUCAGUGGUAACCCAUCGAGAAAAAAGUUAAAUCGACUAGUCAAGUAAGGCCCAAAGAGGAUUCAGAGGACACACAUGGACUCGUCGAGUCACCGAGUGCAAUCAACGAGUCUGGUCAAAGUUAGACCGUUUACUGGGUUUGACUUUUAGGGUUUGGUCAACAUUUAGACAUUGGACCAUUGGAGGGGUAAAAUGGUCUUUUUCCCCUUCUGAGAGAAUAUAGGGAGGGACUAGUCUAGCCUUUGAGAGCCGUAUUAAUUAGAGAUAAAUACUUUAUGUGAUUAGGCGGAGGCUAGAUCGGGGAUAUCGAGCACAAGAAUUUACUAGACGUCAUACAAGGUGAGUCUUCUCACUAUACCUUACCUAGAGUGGUAAUUACGUUUGACCGGAAGGUCUUAUGUGCUAUGACGAGUAUGCGAUAUAUGUUUCUAUCAGAUAUGUAUGUGUUAUGUAUGUUAUGAGUAGUAUGGUAUGGAUCGGAAGGUCAACAAGGUAUGGACCGGAAGGUCAGCAGUGAAUGGACCGGCAGGUCAAUAUGGUAUAGACUGGAAGGUUGACAGAGUAGGACCGGAAGGUCUACUCAGAUUGUGAGACCGGAAGGCCCCUGAGACACAUUGACCGGAAGGUCUCGUAGAGCUACAGCCUCGAGUGGCUUAUGUGCUGUAUGUAGUAUUUUGGGGAACUCACUAAGAAUGUAUGCUUACUGUGUUAUGUGAGAUGUGUUUUAGGUACUAGCGAGGAUCGCGGGAAGGCAUCAGCAUGAUUUAUACACACCGACAGAGGAUUUUGUAUUUGAGAUUAUGGGAUAUGUUAUACCGUGAUAAGAUUUGAUACACUUAUGUUUGAGAUGAUUUAAAAGAGAAAUGUUAUGUUUGAAAAAUGAAAAAUUGUUUUGAAAAUUCACAUCGUUACAAGUUGGUAUCAGAGCCUUGGUUUGAGGGAUUCGGAUGCACCUUCGGGCAUAUCUGAACUCAAACUGAGGAUUUGAGAAAAAAUUUCAUAAAAGAAACAAUUUUUCUAAAAAGAGAAAAAUAUUUUUGAGAAACACAGAACGGAGCAGUGUGUACGAUCAGCCAGCACCCGGACGGUGAUUUCCCAAAAUACCCUUACAUUAUGUGUUAUGAGAUAUUAUGUUAUAUGCUAUGUAUGCUAGAGUAGACUAGGUAUUCAUAUUUAGGACACGAGUUGGCCUGAUUUUUGUUGCCUUAGCCUAGGAGUUACUGCUACUAUGAGAUACUUUCGAGAGUGUGUAGGUAGCAGUGAGGAGCUUAUGAGUGGUCUACUGGAGGGUAACCUGAGUUUAGUGAUAUAUAGAGUACUUGUGAUCUGGGAUCCUAGGAGGAGGACUUGGGGUGAAUACCGAUGCGUUGUGGAAGGUAGUAUAGGGCCCGUACUUCUGGAAACAUCGGAUCGGUGAGCAGUCCAAGUAAGAAUCUUUAGGGUACUAAAGAACAAGUAUGGUUGAGUAUCGAGUGCGAGUAUACUUGAGCGAGUGUCUGAUUUUCUUGUGUUGUAUUUCAGAGACAUCAUGUUUGGGACGCACCACAACCCAGGAGGCAGUGGUACCAGUGGUACCAGCGAUGAGGAGAUCCAUAAGUUGAUUCAUGAGGAGGUGGUCGCAUCCAUACGAGCUGAGAUUCCUGAGACGUUUGGGUCUAUCAAGACCACUUUGAUUGAGAUGUUUGACCAACAGUGUGCUUCUCUUACCGUGGCUGGUGUUACUGCAGCCACCGUAGCCUUCGCCAGUGCUAGGCCAUAGGGGGUGACUCGUUGCUGUACCGAGAGUUCAGCAACACGAAGCCACCAGAGUUUGAUGGGACUCAAGAUCCGAUAGCCGCGAUGAGGUGGAUCUCUGAGAUUGAGGGAUGUUUCUACACUUGUUCCUGUCUGGAACAUUUGAGAGUACGGUUCGCACUGAACCAGCUUCGCUUGGGAGCGGAGGACUGGUGGAAGUUUGUGAUAACAGAUUUUACUCCUACAGAGCUUACCGCGGUGACCUAGGAGAGGUUCAUCACUAUGUUCAGAGACUAGUAUGUUCCCCGGUGGAGAGGGAACGUUUGGCCCAGGAGUUCUUGUCCCUUAAGCAGGGGACAGAGUAUGUGACGAUGAUCACGCAAAUGUUUCAUGAGAGGGCGUUGUUCUGCCCUGAGCACGUGUCUACUGAGCAUGCACGCAUGAGUCAAUAUUUGAGCAUACUGAGGAGAGACAUUCGGUAGUUCGUGGCGAACUCGACGUACCGAACAUUUUCCAAGCUCCAGGAAAAUGCUCAGAAGAGGGAGAUUAAGCUAGAGACUUAGGCCACGGAGGAGGCCGAGUCUCACAGGAGGGACAGGCGGCCGGUGCAGUCUUAACCGACAGCCAAGCGGGCAAAGCCCGACGAUAUGAGAUCUGGAGGCCAGAAGGGCCGCACUUGUGGGAAGUGCGGUAAGGGAAAUGAUGAAGUUUAUCGAGCAGGUGCUUGCUAAAAAUAUGGCAAGGAGGGGCAUAUAGCCAAGGAUUGCCCCAAGGGAUUUUUGGUUUGCUUUCAUUGAAACCAGACUGGCCAUCGGAAGGCCGAGUUCCCACAGCUACUUUAGGGAUUAACAUAGGGAUCUGAACCUGCUAGAGCUACCGAGGCCCGGCCAGUGAAGGCCGAGGCACCGAAGGCUCGCGGGAGAGCCUUUCAGUUGACAACGGAGGAGGUCCGCGCAGCACCUGAUGUCGUGGCUGGUAUGUAUUCUUUUAUUUACGUAUACUGAGUUUGAGAUAUUGUGCUUAUUAUGUGGUAUGCAUAGGUAAUUUUCUUGUGAGUUAUGUACCUGCUUUGGUGUUAUUUGACUCGGGUGCAAGUCAAUCUUUCGUGUCAUUAGCGUUUAGCCAGCACAUCAAUACCGGACAAGAGGCGUUGAGUCGACCUCUACGAGUUUGUAUAGCUAACGAGCGAGCGGUUUAUGCUACUGAUGUGAUUCGAGGAUGUGUACUCGAGAUUUUCGGUGUUGAGUUCCCGAUAGAUAUGGUACCGAUUGCGCUGGGUGAUGUCUGUGUCAUCGUGGGCAUGGACUGGUUGAGCCGAUUUGGAGCUGCUAUAGACUGCGAGUGGCGGUUGGUGACCAUACGAGACCCUAGUGGGGAGUACUUACGGUGUAUGGCGAGGGUACCCGGUCUGGGUCAGCAUUUUGUUCGGCUGCCAGAGCGAGACAUAGUCUAUAGAAGGGUUGUAGAGGGUUUGUAGCCUAUGUGAUGGAUACACGAGUCGCCACAGAGAGGACGAGUUAUGUCGGUAAGGUACCGAUAGUGCAAGAGUUUCCAGAUGGUUUUCCCGAGGAGUUGCCGGGGGUGCCUCCCGAGUGGCAGGUGGAGUUCCGUAUCGAUUUGGUUCCGGGGGCAGUGCCUAUUGCCAAGGCUACUUAUCGCCUUGCACCACCGGAGAUUGAUGGGUUUUGGUCAUAAGAACAUCCUAUGUGCUCAUACAAACCCUAAUGCUUGGAUCUAGGUUUCUCUAUUGUACAUGAAAGUUAUCGAAGACUAUAAACCCUAAUUCUAGCAUUCAAGUAAUCAUAUUAACAUGAGAAUAGGUUUAAGAUCAUACCUUGAUUGUUAUGUAGCAAUAACAAUCUCAAUUCCUACUUGUAUUGACUUUAGAAAGCUUAGAGUCACAAAUGUCACUCCUCUAAUGGUUCACAAACACCAAAAGCAAGAGGAUGAAGAUGAGAGAGGAAGGAGGUUGCCCUAAAACGUGUGAAACCCUAAAAGGACGCUUAGCCACGUUUUUGGGUCAUAAGGGAUGUAUAUAUAGUUAGGCUAUUAGGGUUAUCUAACAAGGAAACCCUAAUUUGGAUGCUUAAGCCCUAAGCAACCCAUAGAUUCCUUUCCUUAAGGCCUUGGACGAUUUCCUCAUGAGCUUUCCCAUAGAAUUCGUCCACUCCUUAAUAUAAGGCAAUCCAUAGCCCAAAUUGAAAUUAUCUUAUAAUUACAAUUCCAGUCCCUUAAGUUUAAUUAAUCUUUUUUAGUCACAAAACUAAUUACCAAUUAAUUCUUGGCUAAUAUUAAUUAAAACAAUAUGAUUUCUCCUUUAAUAUAUUAUCCUCAUAAUAUAUUAAUAAAUCAUAUUUAAUACUUUCUCUCCAUAAUUCAUCCUAUCAAGUUGCUUUGGUGAAGGCAACCCAAAAGGACCAUGCACCAUCGGGUCAAGUACAUACCAAAAUAGUUAUGGACUUAGAAACUAAUCCAACAGAGAUGCAGGAGGUAUCCUUGCAGCUUCAGGAGCUGUUAGGGAAGGGAUACAUUCAACCGAGUAGCUCGCCAUGGGGAGCGUCGAUCCUUUUUGUAAAGAAAAAGGAUGGGUCACACCGGAUGUACAUUGAUUACUAGGAGUUAAACACGUUAACGGUCAAGAACUAUUAUCCAUUCCCAAGGAUCGAUGAUCUAUUCGAUCAAUUGUAGGGUGCGUCUUGGUUUUCCAAGAUAGAUUUGAGGUCUGGAUAUCACCUGAUUAGGGUGCAUUAUGAGGAUAUCCAGAAGACGGUGUUCAGGACUCGUUAUGGAUAUUAUGAGUUCGUGGUGAUGCCUUUUGGGCUCACCAAUGCACCAGUGGUGUUCAUGGACCUCAUGAACCGAGUAUGCAGGCCGAUGUUGGAUCGAUCGGUGAUUGUGUUCAUCGACAACAUUCUAGUGUAUUCGAGGACCAGAGAGCAGCAUGAGGAGCACCUGAUGGAAAUCCUUGGCGUAUUGAGAUCGGAGAGGCUUUACGCCAAAUUCUCCAAGUCUGAGUUCUGGUUACGAGAGGUCCAGUUCUUGGGACAUCUCGUUAAUCGGAAUGGGACAUUGGUCGAUCCGACCAAGAUUGAGGAUGUGAUGAGUUGGGAGGUGCCGAGAUCCCCCACCAAGAUCAGGAGUUUUCUGGGGUUGGCCGACUACUAUCAGAGAUUUAUCCGGGAUUUCUCCAUGAUUGCCUUUCCCCUCACCAGAUUGACCCGGAAGGGCGUUGCUUUUUCUUGGGGUCCAGAGCAGCAGACCUCAUUUGAGACCCUUCGCUAGAGACUAUGCGAAGCCCCAGUGUUAGCCCUUCCGGAGGGAAUGGAGGAUUUUGUGGUGUAUUAUGAUGUGUUUAUAUCGGGGUUGGGUGCGGUGCUCAUGCAGAGGGGGCACAUGAUAGCAUACACAUCGCGGCAACUGAAACCUCAUGAGACGAGGUAUCCCACCCACGAUUUGGAGUUGGGGGCAGUAGUGUUCGCCCUCAAGAUAUGGCACCAUUAUCUGUAUGGGGUUCGGUGUACUGUAUACAUGAACCACAAGAGUUUGAAGUAUAUGAUGGAUCAACCUAACCUGAACAUGCGUUAGAGAUGGUUGGACGUGGUAAAGCAUUAUGACUGUGAGAUCCUGUACCACCCAGGCAAGGCUAACGUGGUAGCCGAUGCUCUGAGUUGCAGGGUGGAGAAUGCCCCGAUUCGAGAUAUAUGCAUGAGGAUGACAGUGAUGACUCCGGUAUUGGAUACCAUCCGAGAGGCCCAGGUAGAGGCUGUGAGACUAGAGAACCUCAAGAGAGAGCGGGUGGUUAAGCAGGUAUCCAAGUUUGUGACGGAUAGUUGAGGGUUGAGGACCUUUCGAGGUCGGAUAUGGGUGCCUUAUACGGGCGGGGCACGUAGCACUCUGAUGGAGGAGGCGCAUAGAUCGAGAUUCUAGAUCCAUCCCAGGGCCAUUAAGAUGUAUUUAGACCUAAAGAGAGACUAUUGGUGGCCCUGUAUGAAGAGGGAUGUUGCAUGGGUAGUAGAGAGGUGCUUGACCUGUAGGCGGGUUAAAACCGAGCACUAGCAUCCGCAUGGCAAGUUGCAGCCACUAGAGGUUCCCCAGUGGAAGUGGGAACAGAUUUCUAUGGAUUUUAUCACCAAAUUACCGAGGAUCGUGAGGGUGUUGAUGCAAUUUGGGUGAUUGUGGACCGACUAACGAAGAGCACUCACUUCCUUGCUAUCAGUGAGAGCUCUUCUACAGAGAGACUGUGAAAAAUAUAUGUUAGAGAGGUGGCGUCGCGGCAUGGAUUGCCGAUCUCAAUUGUGUCAGACCGAGAUGUACGUUUUACUUCCAAGUUCUGGAAGAAGUUUCAUGAGGAGUUGGGUACGAGAUUGCACUUCAGUACUACCACAGACAGAUAGCCAGAGUGAGCAAACGAUAUAGACACUCGAGGACAUGCUUUGAGUAUGUGUUAUGGACUUUGGCGGAGGUUGGGACACAUACCUACCUUUGGCCGAGUUUUCUUACAACAACAUCCAUAAUUCGAGUAUUGGUAUGCCUCCCUUUGAGCUUCUUUAUAGGAGGAGGUGUCGAACUCCCAUCUGUUGGGGAGAGGUAGGGCAGCGAGUGAUGGGUAGCACUAAGAUAGUGCUUAAAAUGACUUAUCAGAUACAACAGGUCAGACAGAGGUUACUGACAGCCCAUAGUCGUCAAAAGAGAUAUGCGGAUAGGCGGCGAUCCGAGCUCGAGUUCUAGGUUGGAGAUUUUGUACUCCUGAAGGUAUCUCCUUGGAAAGGAGUGAUCCGAUUCAGGAAGAGGGGAAAGUUGGGGCCCCGGUACAUUGGUCCAUUUAGGGUGACCAUGAGGGUAGGUAAGGUAGCAUACCGUAUGGAGCUACCCGAGGAGUCAAGUUAGAUCCAUGACACACUCCAUGUAUCCAGUUGAGGAAGUGUAUAGCAGAUGAGACCGCAGUUGUGCCGCUAGAGGAUAUUCAGGUGGACGCGAGUUUGAAUUACAUUGAGAGGUCGAUCGCAAUCUUGGAUUGAAAGAUCAAGGUUCUGAGGAACAAGGAGAUUCCCCUGGUUUAGGUCCAAUGGCAACAUCACAGAGGGUCCGAGCUGACUUGGGAGCCAGAGAUGGAGAUACAGGAGCAGCAUCCAGAGUUGUUUGCAGAGCGAGACUUCAAGGGCGAAGUCUGAUUCUAGUGGGGGAGAAUUGUAACAUCCGGAUUUCCAUGUAUCAUAAAUUGAGUAUUUAUUUAUUGAGCCAAGGAGAAGGACUCGACGAGUUGACGGCUAGACUCGUCGAGUAGGAUCGCGACUACUGACUAGGAUUAAUAAAUGGACUCGACGAGUCGGUGUGUCGACUCAACAAGUCCGCGCUGUGGAUAGAAACCCUAAAUCUUUGGGCUUGUGCCUUAUUUAAGGGUCCUUAUGGCCUUCAUUUGUGGCCACUCAUACCCUGGAGAAACCCUAGCGAGCCAGAGAGCUUAUAGAGAGAGAGAGAGAGAGAGAGAGAGAGAGAGAGAGAGAGAGCUAAUUUCACCACCGUAGUGCAUUCUAGCAAGGAAGGAAGGAAGAUUCAAGCUAGGCUGUUUAGAGGGGGCUCAGAACUUCUUCUAUAUAUUCAAGGGCUUCUGUUUGAGGUAUGAAUCCAUGCCUAUUUUCGUGUAUAUAGCAGAUUUAUGGAAUCUAGGGUUUUUUUACCCUUUCUUUAGUUGGAUUAUGGAGCAUGUGAAGUCCCAUUGAGGGAUAGACUUUAGAUCUGGACCUUGAGAGGUCCAGAGUGUCCUAACAACCAAGCUUUAUGACGGUUUUGGAGGCUCCUCUAGGGUUUAUGAAAGCCUCUUGGUUGCAAAAAGGAAACAAUUUGAAUUAGGAUUAAAUAUAUUAUUUAAUCAAUUCAGAUUCUGCUUUGCUUGCAUGUUACCUAAACUAUAAAUAUGACCCUAAUGCCAACAAUUUUCAUUUAUGACCUUCCUAAUAAUCAUAGGAACCAAGUUUAUUCCUUUAUCCUAUAUCUCCUCUUCAUUAUAUGGUUUCUAGGAUUUUGGGUGUGAGCCAAUAGAGGCAUUACAUUUAUGGUGCUUGCUUUCCAAGGUUUUCAAGUAGUAUAUUUGUAACACCCUGUUUAGGAUCAUUCUGUAAUUCAGGUCCGUGGACCAAAAUUUGAUUAUGUAAAGGCUUUGGAUCUUAAGUAGGCGAUGUCUAGACCUUUUAGAAGGAGUUAUUGAUGGUUAUGAUAUCUAAACCGUUAAAUUGGGUUUUAGAGUCAAAGGGUAAAUCGAGAAAAGUCAUAGGCGGGUUCUUGCAUGAAAUAUGAACUUUUUUCGAGAAUUUUUUAGUCCAAUAUGUUUAGAUAAUAUUGUAGAUCUCUUUAAUAUCUUUUCGUGGAUAUAAAGAACGUCAAAAUCAGAGUUAGAACGAAGAAGUUAUGCCCACAUGAAGUUUGGUCAGUUUUGGGUUAUGCGGAGUAUGUUUGGUCGAUUUUGGGUUAUGCUGAGUACACUCUUAAUGGAGUUUUGGGAUUGGGUUGUGUAAGUUAGGCGUACCUGGUGGUACACUGCACGUACUCAGUCAACGCCCUUCUUUUGGUCAACAUCAGAGUACGAUGGGCGUACUCUCUUACUACACACGGCGUACUACGUUGGGAAGAAAUAUUGACUUUUUGGACCUUUACCAUUGCCUUUUACUUUAAACAGGGUUGACCUAAGGGUAUUGUGGUUAUUUUGGUAUUUUUAUUGUGAUUGAUCACUUGGGUGGUUAGGUGUCGGUUGAAGCGGAGAUUCGACGUAGGGGCCUCAUCAGCUAUUGGUCAGACCGAGAUGUGAGUCAUUCCUUACUGUACUUACGAGUCGAAGGCACCAAGGCUGGCUCAUUGGAUUAUAUAUCAUGUUAAGUUAUAGUAAAUUAUCGUGCGGUAGUAAUCUAUAAGAUCUGUAUCUUGGUAUAUAGGAUAAUGUUAUGCUUAGUGAUUUGUAGAUCUGUCUGAUUGUUUGUUAACUAGUUAUAUGCUUAUUUGUUGUAUAUGUUGACAUAUUGUGGUGGGUUGAGACUGUACUACUUUGUGCAUCAGUCAACAGACUAGGGCACUCCAACGUCGAUAGGUUGUGUGUUGGGGUAAUCCAACCUAGAUAGGUUGUGGACCCAGUAUGAAUGGGCAUUCCAACCUCAAUAUGUUGUGGUAUGGGGGUAAUCUAACCUCGAUAGGUUGUGGAUCCAGUAUGUAUGGGCAUUUCAACCUUGAUAGGUUGUGGGUCGGGGGUAAUCCAACCUCAAUAGGUUGUGGAUCCAUUGUAUAUUGGCAUUUUUCCUAGGGUAUUCCAUCCCGAGGAUGAUCAAACCCGACAUGUUGUUGUAUAUGUUAUUAGUCUAUGCGGUGGUAUUUACGGGAAACUCACUAAGCUUUAUGCUUACAGUUUUAGUUUAUAGUUUCAUGUACUUUAGAGGACCUUGACCAGGCAAAUGCGUGACUGUACACAUCCUGAUGUUAUGUUGUUGAUCUUGGGAGACUCUGAUUUUAAGUAAUGUUUUGGAAACAAUGGUUUUUUAAACACUUUUAUUAGUUAAUGAGUCGUUUUGAGAAAAUUAAAAUUUGUUGUAAUUUUUGGGGAUGUUACAAGUUGGUAUCCAAGCCUUGGUUUGAGUGAAUUGGAGGAACAUUUGUGUGAAUCCCGUCUCAAACUAAGGAAAUGAAAAGGUUUUAAAAAUAUUUUUGAAAAUUGUUUUCAAAAAAAUCAAGAAAGGAUGCGAUGUGUACGGUCAAUCGGAGCCAGUAAGUAGACCCCAAAUUACCAAAUUCUUAUUUGAUAUUGUCAGAUAUUAUAACAACAUUCUACUGAUAGGCUAGGGAUCUUCAGGAAUUACAUGAUAAAAUUACAUGAUAAUAUGAUGCUUGAUAGCCAAGGGCCUUCCUUAUAUGACGUUGACAUCAUUACUGUAGUUUCUUAAGGUAUGCAUCAUAGUUGUAUACAACUAAGAUUCUAUAGCCUGAGAAUUUCUGGUUUAGCCUUAUUUCAUGUUCGUGUUUGAUGAAGGGCUUAGGGUAGAAUCGAGUAUUCUACUGACUAUAGGAUCUAGUAUUAUGUACGAUUAGCAUACACGAGUGCUGCAGAGUUGGUGGAAGUUUCAUGAGUGGGUGCAAUUCAUAGCGGGUCAUUGUGAGGAAUUAUUGGCCCCUUUUGAUAGAGUGAGGGCGGGAAGAAGGUGUAUCCAAGAUGUCGGGAUUCAGAGAUUGAUAAGUUCGUAUGAGCAUUUGUCUGAUUUUUUUGUUCUUUAGAGUCAGUCAGCUCUAGUGCUCGAAUGUUGCUUGCUUUGUGCUUUGUGGGACUCACAUUGAUGUCAGCUAACUAUCAGAUUAAUACAUUAAGUUACGUAUUAUGGAGGUUAAAUAAUCUUAGAGAGAAAGGGUUGACCCUAUUGUGCAGCUCUCGUUUAAGUCUAACCGUUGUGGGGUUGAGUCCUUUAUUCGAAAGGUUAUUUAAGUUUUGUUGCAUGUAAUUAUGUUCAUGAAAUGGUUAGCUGACAUUGGUUGGAGUCCUUCAGCAGCUGAUGGAAGGGGAGGUGGGAAAUCUUAGGAGAGCCUAGGAAGUAUUUUAAUGCGGAUGUUUCGCUUUGGAGCAGGUACUAGGAAUAUGUUUAUGAGUAGGUCUUUGGGACCUGAGAUGAUUCUUGAGGAAAGUAUGGAUAGGUGUGGAAGGUAGUAUUACACCCGUGGAAGCAUAGGAUCCAUACUCGAAUUUAGGAGAGUUUUGGGGAUUCUAAGGGCUGGUCGAGAAAGAUAGCAUGGUUUGAUACCAUGAUUCGUGGUAGUGGCAAAAGAUCUGUCAAUCUUUUGGCUAUGGUUGCUUGGGCUUGAGUAUGGAUAUGGUAAUUGUUAUGGGCCUCAGUGGCUAUAUCGAUUUAGGUUCAAUGGUGCAGGCCUUGAUGAUUUUGUCAGUUCUUGAGGUUUCCAGGGUUUUACUCGAGACUGUGCAUUCAAGUCGCAAAACUCAAGAAGAAACGAUAGUUCUGAUUGGCUUGGCGAUUUCAGCUGGAAGCGAGUGGUUGAUCAAUGGAUUCGGAUGUCACUAUCUUUAGCGGGGAUUUUCCCUUUCAGUCUUUCAGGUUCGAGGAGGAGUGAGCAGGCUUGUGACUUUCAGUGUUCGGAUGUAAACCGAACAUGGGUACUGUUGGUGGCGGUGUUUGGACACAGGAUGUCAACAUGUGUGCAGGUGGGUUGAUGUGGUAUGGAUAUUUUGUGAUGUGAUCAGGGUUCUGUAUCCUUCGAAUUUAGGCAAGUCAGCUACCGGUUUGACGGAUGAGAUUGCUGGCAAAGAGGGUAUGUUUGGAUCGGAAGUCGGUAUUGGCUUAUGCUCUUGCAAGAAAUCCUUAAUGUUAAGUGGUUAUAAUUGGGAAUUUCAGAGGUCUUCAGCUGAAUCCAUAAUUCUCUUAGAUUUUUCUUUAUCCUUAUCUGGAAGAUCAUCCUGCAUGUGUUAUUCAUUCCAAGGUCAAGGAUUCUUGUACUUGGUUAAGCCAAUUUGAGUUAUGGUUUGGUUUCAGCACCAGCAUGUGGUAGUCCGAACCCUAUGUGGGGGAGAUAUGGGUAUUCUGCUUGUAGGAUCAUCGAUCUGUUUAGGUUCGUAGUAUUUAGAGAAUGGUUCCUAGGGAUUUAUGGUGGGAAUAUUGGGAUCUCAGCUUAGGAUUUGGUCAAGGUAGGGGUAUAUAAUGGGUGGUGAUCGGAUGCAUGUGUUCAAGAGACACAUGAGUUGUCCCCAGGAAGAAAGUGGUUGGUCAAGGAGCUCGUUGCAUCUAUUGGUUCCUUUUGGGGAUGCCAACGAAUGGAUAGGGAUCCGCUGGGAUCACUUAUGUUGAGUAUCGGGUGCUGAGGGAAUUGCCAGCUUGUUGUAGGAAUUUCUAUUCAUUUUCUAGCAUAGGCAUAGGAAGAUCAAGGUAUCAGUAUCUAGGUGGAGUACGUUCAUCCCCGUGUGGGAUUGGGUUGUUAGAUCUGAUGUCAAGGCGUCCUUGAUCAUUGCUUGCUUCGUUUGUUAUUCAUCGGGGAAGUCGCAGUAGUAUUUCCAGCGGGGAAUCAAGAUUAAUAUGUUUUAUAUCCCUUUGGUCUUCGGGUAGGGUUACCCUCAAUGAUGGUGUGGAAUUUUAGUUCAUAGCCAGCUUGGGUUGGGUGGCAUUCAGGAUCACUUUAGAAGUCUUCUCGAGUUGGUUGAGUAUUGGUGGAAUCUAUUCAUUCUCAAUCAAAUAUGGGAUCUUGUUGUGAUUAAUCAUGACGAUGUCUUAUGUUAAUGAUUGAGGCUUGUCGUUCGAUAGAAAUAUGGUAUCUAUGCUCUUUUGGAUGAGGUUAUGGGUUCCAUAAGGAUCUUUAUUGUGGUAAUUCAUUGUAUGUAUGUAGGAUGGAUAAUAUAGAAUUGGGGCUUGGUUCGAAUUAUACACAUGGUUCUUUUGGGUGAUAGCCUUUGAAUUAGAUCAAGGGUACAAUCUUUAUCCUGUUCUCGGGUCGUGGGCGGCCAUGAUUUUCAUCGAGCUCUGUAUUGGUAGUAGCUAGUUCUGUGAAAGAAAUUAGGCAUGGUAUGGUUAUGGAUUUGUUGUGCAGUUAAGCAUUGAUAGGGACGUUGUUUAAGUCCCUGCAAUGCGGUGGAAAGAGAUUGAGAAUCUUUUGGACCAUGGUGUGGGUUGCGAGUUCCAGGCGAAAUGCGUAUUGUUGACAAGAUCGGCGUAAUUGUUGCAGCAUUCCAGACUCAUGCUAUGGGCUCGGUGGUAAUCCAAACCUAUGUUGAGGACCUUGUAAGGGUAUUCCAGACAUAGGUUGUUGGCCCAGUGAUCAUCAUUGUUGAUUUCUUCUUAUUAUGGUAAUUUUGGUAUGGGUGCAUUGAUGGAAAUCUAGAGGCACACAAAUCAGCUGGUUUGGAUAAAGGGAAUAGUUAAAGGUUGUUGGGAUAAUUAGUCGUAUAUCAGAAAGUUUUUUGAAAUGUUUGCAUUAUAAUCUUGUUUGCUCGCAAGAUGUUAUGAGGGGUUGAUUAUCAAGGUUGGGAAUCAGUUAUGAAGUCUCAAAUCUAAAGUUCUUCGUUAAUGUACCGGGUGUUUUGCUAGAUGGAGGUACACUUGAAUUGUUAAGGAUUGGAGGUAAAUGUGGAAUUAUUGGAAUUCUCAUCUUUACUCGUAGGAUCAGUGGUUGUGGCGUGUCUGGGAAUCACAAGUUAAUUAAAGGCUUUUGGUGCAUCUUAUGGAUUUGGGAUUAGUAAGAAAUUCGUGAUUGAUGUGUUUGGGUUCUUUUCAGAUAAGGUAUUGGAUUCCUGGUUUUGAGAUGAGUAGUGAUGGUUGUCCUUUAUCAAUUAACAUCAGCAGGAGCAAGGGUUCAUCUGACGACAAUAUGUCAAUUCUGCUUAAAUGGGUUCGAUUAUUGGAAGGCCAUCGUAUGUUAGCAUCGACUUUUAUCAAGGAUCUAGAAAGGUGGUCGGGGUAUAUGUUUUCGAUUAUCUAUAAAUUUGUUUAGGCCAGAUACGUUUGUUCGGUUCGGGUUGUGAAUUUGAGUCUUUGUGAGAGCAAUUUUGAUUAGUUCUAUCUGUCUUGGACUCCGACAUUGUUCAGGGUUUUCAGUUUCAGGUACAACGGUUGGAUACUCGUUGGCUUAGGGAAAAGUUGAGGUUCAUUAUUCGUUAGGGCUUGUGAUAUAUUGUAUUUUCGGUUCGACAACGGUAUGUGUGGGCAGUCAUCAGAGCGAGGUGACUUCCCCAGUCAUUUUUGGGAUUCAUGGAGUUCAAUCAGGAUCAUUUAGUUCGGUAAAGGAGAUAGUAUGGAAUGAUUUCAAGGACAAAAUCUAAUUUAAGUGGAGGAGAGUUGUCACACCCUGUUUGAGAUCAUUCUGUAAUUCAGGGUCGUGGACCAGAAGUUGAUUGUGUAAAGGCUUUGAGCCUUAAGGAGGCGAUGUUUAGAACUUUUAGAAGGAGGUAAUGAUUGUAAUGAGAUCUAAACCUUUGAAUUUUGUUUUGUAGUCAAAGGGUAAAACGGGAAAAGUCAUAUGGCUUCUUGCAUGAAAUAUGGAUUUUUGUUCGAGAAGUUUUUAGUCUAAGAUAUUUAGAUAAUAUUAUAGAGCUCCUCAAUACCUUCUCGUGGAUUAUUGCACUAAAGGCCCAAGGAAGUGAAUUAAGGUUUACAAGCUAAAACACUAGGAAUUCCAUACUAUAAAUGUAACCCCUAGCAUCACCAAAAUGUCCCCUAAGAGUUCCAAGAAGAACCCUAGCCGUUUUGUGUGCCUCCUAGCCUCUCUCUCAUUAUCCUCCAUUGUUGGAGGUGAUUGUGACUCAUUUGAGGCAUCACAUUUGAGGUGCUAAGCUCUUUAAAUGUCAAGUUUACAAGCUACAACAAAGAGGUAUUCAUCUAACUAGAUUUUUAUGUUUCAAAUAUCAAACUUGUAUACUAGUUGUAGGUUUCAUGCUUUGGAUAAUUUUAUUGCAUGUAUAACUUGAGAAAACUUAGAUCCAAAGCAUUAGGGUUGUAUAUGUACCAUAGGGAUGUUAUAGUUCUCAAAACCCAUCACUUUACACACAUGCAUUGCUUAAUGGGGCUCAAGAGCUCAAAAAGAGCUUAAUAAAGGUGUUAACAUAUGCAUGGGUCCAAAUGCUCCAUAAAGUUGACAUUUUUAUGAACUUAUGGACUGAAUGGAGCUAAGAUCUAGCAUCUAUUGCCUCUGGAGUAGAUCAAAAGCUCUCCUUUAAUACAAAGGACUAAAAAAUAUGCACAAAUGUUCCAUGAAUUAUAUCUAACAUAGAAGAGCAUAAAGAUGCAAGCUUUUUACCUCAAAAUCUUGCAAAAGUAGAAGUGAUCUUGGAUCUACAAGCUCAAUCAAAUUCUUCAAGGGGUUCUUCUUCUUCUUCACCUUAAGACACCAAAAUCUCUUUAUCAAGCUCAAAACUCACCAAAACACUCUAGGGUUUCGUUUCUGGGACAAGGAGAGGUGCAGGCUAGCUAAACAUGUCCAAACUCACCUAUAAUGAGGUCACCUAAAGAAUAGGGUUUGUCUCAGACUCACCUAUGCCAUGCGUACACCAUGUACUCCCCGCGUAUAGGGUUAAGUCUCAUCACAAGAAAUAUGGCUAGUACGCUAAGCGUACCCAUUGAAUACGCCCCACAUACUAACCAAUGGACCAAUUUUGAAAGAAAUUUGCAUUAAGGACUAAAAAGGGAAACUUGCCAACAUGAAUGUUACAAUAAUUUUGGAUGAUUUUUAUGGCAUGAAAAAUCAUACAAAAUUAUAUAUAAUGUGUUUAGUUAUAUAUUUUAUGUUGUUUAAAACUAGUUUUAAUAACAUAAGAAUAUAUUAACAGACAUCAAAGUUUAAGUGUUAAAGUAUAUGUAUUUCGUCUUAAUCAAACAUUCAUUAGAAACAUGUUUAUGACACACCAUGCUUAAGUAACAAUAAGUGAAUAUUAUCGCUAAUGUUGAUAGUGAAACCCCCCUCUCUAGGGUAUUUUUAAAAUUAUUAUAAAAUCACUGAUUUUAUGUAAAAAUGAUUUGUAUCUCAAUUUAUGUGGAAAAGUAUAGUCCCAAUAUGUUUUAAAAUACUUAAGAACAUUUUUGUACGAAAUUAGGUCCCAAUGUAUCAAAAUAUUUUUUUUGUUAAAAGCGCAAGGUAGAAACCAAUUUAAUAAUCAUCACAAUUUCAAAUACAACCUCACAAUAUGAGGCCUUAAAAAUGACAUCGUUGUCAUAUAAGCAAGUGCUAACUAUUCAAUCUGAGUAUAAAUCAAAGUAAGUUAGGUAAUGAAAUGCCUAGUGAGAAUAGUUAGGUUGAGUCGUUUAGAGUAAUGAUGAUGGAAAUCAUCAUACAUGAGACUAACCCGAAAAAUCAAUUUAAAAUCAAUAAAUUCCACAAGUAUUAGUAAUCCAAAAUGUAGAGUACUAAGACUCAAACAGGAGAGAGUAAGGGUAUAUGAACUUAUAUUAGAAUCCAAGGAUAAAAAAAUCCAUAAUUCAAAAUCAAGAGAGUUUAAUAACUAAAUUUAUUUAUCCAAGGAAGGUAAUACCAAAAUCAAUAUCAAGGGCUAACUAACCCACCAUCUUUAACAAAAGAACUGGUAUUCCAUUAUCCUAAGCAAAGGGUUAAUUAACCCAUAGUUCCCAAUAAAAUAUUUAAUCUUUCCAUAAACCAAAUCAUAAGAAUCAAUACCCUAUAACUUGGGAUUUAACGACCCAAUUAGAAAUCAAAGGGUUCUAGUAACCAAAUACAUCCAAAAGGUUAAUCUAUAACCCAUCUAUAUAAAUAAAAUCCAAAGCUUAACAUUAAUUAGCAAAGAUUAACAACAAUAAUAAACAUCAAAAGGAUAAUCAAGGAAUAAUUCUACAAACUCAAUAUACCAUUUAUGAGGCGAAUUAACUCAUGUGAUUGCAUACACUUCGAGGCUACUAAAUCCUCAUGAGGCAAUUUACACUAUGCACAAUUUAGAGUUGGGGGUAGUGGUGUUUACCCUCAACAUUUGGCGAGAUUACCUCCAUGGGGUGGACUACACUAUCUACAUGGAUCAUAAGAGCUUGAGGUAUUUGACGGAUCAACCGAAUCUAAACAUGAGGUAGUGUACAUGGUUGGAUGUGAUAAAGAAUUAUGAUUGUGAUAUCCUUUAUCACUCGGGAAAGGCGAAUAUGGUGGUCAAUUCUCUCAGUCGCACGGAGGUCGCUCCUCCGAUCAAGGAUAUGUGUUUGAGGAUGAUAGUGUUUACACCACUAUUAGAGCAGAUUAGAGAAGCUCAGGUUGAGGCUAUGAAGGAAGAGCAUCAGAAGAGUCAGCGCAUGGUGUGGGUUCCAUACUGGGGUGGUACGCAUCAGAUUCUGAUGGAGGAUGCGCACAAGUCGAGGUUUCUAUUCAUCCCAGAGCAAAAAAAAUAGAGAACUCCGACUUGAAUACUGGUGGCCACCCAUGAAGCAAGAUGUGGCAAUGUAUGUAGAGAUGUGCUUGACUUGUAGGAAAGUCAAGGUCGAGCAUCAACGUCCCGAAGAUAAAAUGGAGUCGUUGGAUAUUCCUUUUUGGAAAUGGGAAGAUAUUAUGAUGGAUUUUAUCACCAAAUUUCCUAAGACGGUGCAAGGAAUGGAUUUGAUAUGGUUUGUUGUGGAUCGAUUGACCAAGAGCGCUAUCUAGAUUCAAAUAAGCAUCUCUUCCAAAAAGUUGGUAGACAUAUACAUUUGAGAGGUUGUGGCAUGGAAUGGGGUGUUGGUUUUUGUGGCCUCUGGUAGGGAUGUUCGGUUCACUUCCAAGCUCUAGAAGAGAUUCGACGAGGAGUUGGGUACUCAACUACAUUUUUGUACAACUUUCCACCAGCAGAAUGAUGGUCAUAGUGAGCGGACUAUCCAAACCUUGGAGGAUAUGCUCCGGGCUUGUGUAUUGGAUUUUGGUGGGAGUUGAGGUACGUACCUCCCUUUAGCGGAGUUUUCGUAUAACAAUAGUUAUCACACCAGCAUUGAUCGACCUCCUUUUGAGAUGUUCUACGGGAGAAAGUGUAGGACCCCGAUAUGUUGGGGUGAAGUCAGUCAACGAGUCAUGGGGAAUACGGAGGUGGUACUCAAGACUACCAAAUUGAUUCAGUAGGUUUGCAUUAGACUUCAGAUAACACAGAGUCGACAAAAGAUCUAUGCGGACAGACACUGAUCAAACUUGGAAUUUUAGGUUGGUGAUAUGGUACUCCUAAAGGUGUCACCUUGGAAAUGUGUCAUCCACUUCAGGAAGCGGGGUAAGCUAGGCCCCAUGUAUAUUGGUCCUUUUAUGGUUGUAGCCCGGGUGGGCAGGGUGGCAUAUCGUUUAGAUGUUACGGAGGAACUCAGACAGAUUCACAACACUUUCCACCCCUCUCAGCUACGUAAAAGUUUGUUUAAUGAUUCUGUAGUGAUUUCGUUGGAGAAUAUUCAGGUGGAUGACCGCCUGAAAUACAUUGAGAGACCGGUCGCGAUCCUUGACAAGAAGACGCAAACCAUAGGGAACAAGGUUGUAGGAUUGGUAAAGGUGCAUUGGCAGCACGAUAUUGGUUCUGAGUGGACGUGGGUGCCUAAGGAAGAGAUCAGGGAGCAUUACCCAACGUUGUUUGCAGAGGUGGACUUCGAGGACGAAGUCUGAUUCAAGUGGGGCAGAAUUCUAACACCCGACUUGUCAGGUAGAACUCUUAACCAUUUAUCACAUUUAUUUUCCUUGUCUUGGACCCACGUAUGUUGGGCUUACAUAAGGUACGCAUGGCGUACUCCUACGCAUUCAUGAGGCGGGGAGUUUCCCUGGUACGUUGGGCGUACCCAUGCGUACGUAGGGCGUACGUCAACCAUGGGAAAACCCUAAUUUUUAGGGUUGGCACCCUAUUUAAGCACAUUAAGCCCCCAAGUCCUUCACUUUUUCAGCCUCUAUUUCCUCUUGAGCCAUAUCUCGAAACCCUAAUCCAUUUUCGAAGAGAUUGAGCUUGUGUGGGUGUUUUGUGUGUGUGAUGCUUAGUGAAGAAGAAGAAGACUUGUGGAGAAGCUUUGGACAAGAAAGAGCUUGAAGAUCCAAUGUUUAUUCACCAUUUUAAGCUUAUUGGAGGUAUAAAGCUCCUAACUUGAUGAUUUGGUGUAUUAGAUAUACUUUAGGGCUCAUUUUCAUCAUAUAAUGGUCCUUAAAGUGUUUCUUGAGAGUAUAAGCUACUCAAGAAGGUUAUAAUGAUAGAUCUGAGUGUUUUUGAUGUCCCUUGAGCAUAAAAAUGGUGUCUUGAUGGAUUAAGCUCAACAACAUGCAAGGGUUGAAGGUUGUUUCAAGAAGCUAGUAUGAUAAAAUCAAAUAUUUGAUGUUUUUAAGGCAUGAAAAAGCAUAAUGUUUGCAACAUUAUGGAUUAAUACACUUAAAUGAGAUUAGAUCUAAAGUUAAACGUUAGGUCUUAACGAAUUAAGACCUCAAAAGCAACCUAAUGCAAGUUGGGGCGUACAUCAGGCGUAUAUAGGUGUACGCUGCGUGUAUGCACCCGAAAUCCCGAGUAUGUUGGGUGUUUAGAUAGUACGCUUAGCGUACUCACCAGAGGGAUAUUUGGGCUUUUACCUUCAAUCCAACUUGGGCUUUAAGGUUUUUGGCCCUUGUUGGGCCGUAAGUCUUUCUGAGUUGGGCCUUUAUGGAUUUGGGCCCAUAUUAGGCUCGACAUGCUUUUUUGGACUUUUGGGCUAGUUGGAUUGGGCCUUGGUAUAUUAGGCCCAAGAAGGAAGCAUAAAUCAGCCUUUUACCCUUAAACUCGGGAUUUAGGGUUUGGACUCCUGGGAUGGGUUAUUGAUCUAAUUUCUAGUUAGGAUUUUAUUAUUUGUGAAUUAGUGAGAGGAUUCACGAUUCAACAACUCGAGUAUGAUUUGAUAUCUUCAAUAUGAGGCGAACUUCCUCCACUGUACUCAUAGGUAGAAGGCACCACUGUCAGCCCAGUAGAUUAUAUUAGUGGGAUGAUAAUUGUCUUCGUGACAUUUUCAUGCUAUGCCUGUUUAUGCUUGUUGUCUUCGUGACUUCCAUUGGUAUGAUUGUAUGGUUAGAUGUAGGGAUCCAGUACCGAUUGAAAGAUACCAAAGGGGGUGAAACAGACCCAAUACCGGUUGAAAGAUACAGAAGGGGGUUAAAUAGACACAAUACCGGUUGAAAGAUACCGAAUGGGGUGAAAUAUACCCAGUUAUGCUUGAUUGGUAUGUAUGUAUGGUAUGGGGUAUUUUGGGGGAGCUCACUAAGCUUUGUGCUUACAGUUUUCAGUUUAUGUCUCAGGUACUAACAUUUUUUAUGUAUUUUAAACGGUUUAGGUUAGUUUUAGUCACUGAACUUUUUUGAAUGUUUUAUUUUGGUCAUUAUACUUUGUUUAAAGUAUCAUUUUGUCAUUGAACUUGUUUAUUUCCUUUUUUUGGUCAUUCUAAACGGGCAUAUCAGGUAUUUUUAAAUAUUUAUGUAUUUAUGUAUUUAUGAUGUCUUUUAUAUAGUUUUUUAUUGAAUAUUUUUAUGUAUUUUAAAUGUAUAAACAUAUAUUUUUAUACAUAUUUGUAUGUAUUUUUGUAUUUUUUUUUAAAUUUAUUUAUGUAUUUUAACUCCAACUUUCAUUGUAAGAUAACUAUUAGACCUUAUAAACAAAGGAAAGAAGCACUAAAGUACUUCAAAACAAAAAAAAUUCAAAGAUGAACCUUACCAACAACGUAAUUUUUGUAGGUAAACUCUUCCUUCUUUUUUUCAUGAAUUCAACUUUAGAUAAACAAAAUUUACGAAUAUUUUUAUCAUUAACAAGAAUAUUCGUAAACUUUGUUUAUCUACAAAUUCAAUUCAAGAAAAAAUAGAAGAAUUUACCUGCAAAAAUGACUUUUAUUGCUAAUGAUUGAAAAAUGUUUGUUUUGAAGUAAUCUAGUGCUUAUUUUCUUUAUUUACAGGGUUUAAUAGUUAGCUCAUAAUGAAACGUUAAGUAAAAAAAUUAAUAACUACGUAAAAACAUAAAAUACCAAAAUGCUUAAAAGUUCUUAAAAAAAUUAAAAAAUACGUAAAAUAAUACAUUUAUAUAUUUAAAAUACAUAAAAGUAUGUAAAACAAAAUAUAUAAUUUUUUUAAAAAAGUACAUCAUUACAUGAAAAAAUACCAAAAUACAAAAAAGUACGUAAAAUACCUAAAAAUUCAUAUAAUUAUGUAAAAAAAUACGUUUAUACCUUUAAAAUAUAUAAAAAAGUAAAAAAUAUAUAUAAAAAAUUUUAAAAAAAUUAUUAAAAAGGUCAUAAAUAUGUAAAAAUACUUAGAAAAAAUACAUAAAAAUACGUUUAUACGUUUUAAAUUUUUUUUUUUUGAAAAUUUAGGAAUAUAGACACUAAAGUCCCAAUAUUUUCAUCGAUUUGACAAGAAAGUCCUAUACUUUAUUUUUUUGACAGUAAAGUCCAAAUUACCGGCAAUUUUUGACACUUUUACCCUUUUUUCCGGUUAGCCGAUAAUUAGGAGUUUUUUUUCAAAAAAAUAAAAUUUAGGACUUUCUUGUCGAAUCGUCAAUUAGGACUUUACUAUCAACAAAAUAAAGUUUGGGACAUUCUUGUCAAAUCAUUGAAAAUAUUGGGACUUUAGUGUAUUUUCGUAACCCAAGAACUUUUAAUUGUAACUUUUGUUGCAUCAUCACUGUUUUUCUUACCAUCAUCAUUUUUACCCUAACACAAUCACGAUCAGGAGAAACAUAUGGAAAAUAGAGAGCGAGAAAGGGUGAAAAGACUUGUAAAACUUUCUUAUUGCUUCGCCGCCAAAUCUUGAACUAAAAAGUGGGGACAGAUUAUACAAACACGAACAACACAUGCCUAGUCAAAAAGGUGUGAAUGUGGAGAAGGGAAAGAAAGGCAAUUUUGUUUUGAGAUUAAAAAAAACAAUUUAACAAGAAGCAAAAAGUCAAUCGAACCCUGGUUCUUUCUUUCUUUCUUUCUUUCUUUCUUGAUUAUUUCCAUUUUUUUCAAUGUUGGCUUGUUGAGAUUAAAAAAACGAUUUAACAAGAAGCAAACGUUAAAGAUUUCAUGUAACACCCGAUUCCUGGUGCGUAUUUAAAUUCAAGUAAAUUCAUUUUUUUCUUUGGGACUCGGCAAGUUGGAGGCCCAACUCGUCGAGUAGACUCGAUAUUGACCGGGAAUUUUAAUGAUCUACUCGAAGAGUCGGGAGACCGACUCGACGAGUAGAAGUUGUCUGGAUGAAACCCUAAUAUUUAGCAUUUGUACCCUAUUUCAACAACUUAUAAUGCCCCAACCCAACCUCCAUUGUUCCUCCCAACCCAGAGAAAGCCCUAACUCGUACCCUAAGCCUCUUUUGAGUGUUCUUGAGCUUUUUGGUGACUUUUUUGUGCAUUUGAAGUUGGAAGAGAAGAAGGAAGCUUGGGAAUUCAAGUGCAAGCUAGUAGAUCCAGAGGUUUUGCUUCAUUCUCAGUUCAUUCAAGGUAAAAAGCUUGAACCUUGACCAUCUAUCUCUUAGAUCUUAUUUUGGGGCUAUUUUCUACCCUUUUUUAUGAGUUGUGAAGUUAUAGUCAGAUUUUGUGAGUGUCUUUGGAGUUACACUUCAAAUCUGGAACCAUUGAGGGUUUCCAUGGCAUAAAGGUGACAACUUUAUGGCUAUGGGAGAUCCAUGCUUCUUAUAUACCUCUUUUUAUGGCUUUUGAGCCAAAAACCCCCAUGCAUGGACGUCAAGAUUGGAACUUUACGUAUAAAAUAGACCAUAGGAGGUCAGAUCUAUGGUUUGGAUGCAUUUAGACCAAGUAAAAUCAACUGUAUAGUUUCGAACAAAGAUGGACUCGGCGAGUCGUUCAUGGGACUCGGUGAGUCGGGACGUAUUUUCCAUUAAAUCCUUUUUGUUGAUGGACCAGAUGCUAAGAUUGAAGGUCCCUCGGUUGUUUGGGCUUAUUAAGGACCUGGAAGUCAUAGAACUCGGCGAGUGUAUGAGCCGACUCGGCAAGUUCAAGGUAAUGUCCCAACCACAUGAAGAUGGACUCGAUGAGUCAUAGACUAAAUACCUUCAACGGAUGAAGAUAAACUCGACGAGUCGGUUGAAGAAGGACCGAUGUGUUGUUGAAGGCGAACUUGUCGAGCUCUUACUAGAAUCGACGAGUAGGGAUGAGGUUGUAGCUUUUCAUCGAUGGGGGGACACGACGAGUUGGUGAACCAACUCGGUGAUUCUGGUCAACUAGAUGUUGAAUUUGAACAAAGUUGACUUUGACCAAGGUUCUGACCUUGACUUUGUAUUGGACUUAAGUUGACCCUUGUAAGGGUUGUGGGUAUGAGAUGGUAAUUUAGAAAGGAUGUUGUGUAGGGAUUGAGGAGUCGGGAAGAGUCGAUUUUCUCACCGAGGACAGUGCAGACACUACACAACCUUGAGAUGAGUUACCUUUCAGUAGAGUUAGUCUAAGGCACCAAGGCCGACCCACUAGUAGUUGAUCGUAGUUGAGAUGAUUGUAUUUGUGAUAAUUGUCUGGUUUGCUAUUACUUGAUGUGUUCUAUGUGUCAGUAUGAUAUGUUAUAUGUGAUAGUGGUAGUAGGAGGGGAAUAGUCCCCCGGUUCGGUCGUUAGGACCGAAGGGUAGGUCGGACACCCCAAAUAUGUAUGACAGCAUGAGUAUGAUAUAUUGUUAUGUGAUAGUAGUAUGGGUGAAAUAGUCCUCAUGACUGGGUGAGAUAGACCGGAGGGUAGGCAGGCACCCCAGAAUAGCCUAACACGGGGUAUGUUAGCACCCCAGAAUGGCUUGACAUGGGUAGGUCCGUACCCCAGAAUGACUUGACAUGGGUAGAUCGGGCACCCCGAAUUGCUCGAUAGUAUGUAUGAUUGUAUGGCAUGUGGUAUGAUGGGGGAACUCACUCAGCUUCGUGCUUAUAGUUUUUAAUUUUGAUUUCGGGUACCUCUUCAACUAAGGGGAAGGAGUCCGUAGGGUAGUAGCGCAUCACACACACAUGACUUCUGCUUUCAGAACCCUGGGAUUGUACUCUGACAUUUUACUAUUUGAUGUUAUGAUUUUCGAGACUUGUGAUUUGUUACUUGAUGUUUUGAAAUGAUAGCAACGAUGUUUUCCGUAAACUAUUUUUAUAAGUAAUAUAAUUAAACAAAAAAAUUUAGGUCUCGAUUUUGGGAUGUUACAUUUCAAUAGGAUCUAUCUGACUAGAGAAGGUUUUAAUACUCUUAUGCUUAAAGAGUAUCAUACCAUUAAAUUUCUAACAAAAAAAAGGGAUAUAUACACUAAAGUCUCAAUAUUUUCAACGAUUUAACAGAAAGUCCUAAACUUUAUUUUUUGACAGUAAAGUCCUAAUUGACGAUUUGAGAAGAAAGUCCUAAACUUUAUUUUUUGACAGUAAAGUCCUAAUUGACGAUUUGAGAAGAAAGUCCUAAACUUUAUUUUUUUUGACAAAAAAGUCCUAAUUACCGUCUAACCGGAAAAAAAAUGGUAAAAGUGUCAAAAACUGUCGGUAAUUUGGAUUUUACUGUCAAAAAAAAAGUUUCGGACUUUUUUUUUCAAAUCGAUGAAAAAAUUGGGAGUUUAGUGUACAUAUCCCGAAAAUCUAUAGAAAAGUCUCAUUAUUUUUUUAAAAUUAACGAUGUGGUCCCAUGCUGAACAUAUCAAAAGAGGCUAAAAUAAAAAAUAAAAAUAAAAAAAUCAGUUUUUUUGGGCUUUUCUAUAAAAAAAAAAUUGGGAUUUAAUCGUUGAUUUUUUCUCAAAAUCAUGGGAAUUUUCUACAAACUUCCCAUUUAGAUUAGUUACAUUAGUCCCAAAUCAAAUGUAUUGGCUUUCUUUUUUUAGCCUUGUACUCAAAUAUUUACUUUACUAGUUUUGCCAAACUCUCACCAGUUGGCUAUUUUUGCAUUUAGGACAAUUGCAAAUUGUUUUAACUCUUUUGCAUAAAAUGAGCCCUAUACAUUUGCCGUGUUAGAUAUUCAUAGAAUUAAGCCUUUAUCAUUGCUUUUUCAACCACGUGUAUAAUGUACUUAAGGGAUUUAAAGUCUCUUUCAUGAUUGGAGCUCUGUUAUUUUCCCUGUUUUAGAUUAUCAAUUAUGCGCUUUGUGAUAAAAUAUGCAUUUGGUAAAUUUUCAUCUUACUUUUUUAUAGGCAGAUACUAAAUGGACAACCUAGAGUAUAAGAUUAGGUCAUGGGAAAAAAUUACCGUAUGAUUGGCUUGGGUUAUUACCAGAUAUAGAAGGUGUAACUGAAUAAGUAACAUUACAACAUUCUUAAAAAAAAUCUUGUGUCGAGAAUACAUAAAAUAUAUGAAUAAGUAACACUCAACCACAUAAACUUAAAAUAAAAUCACAGCAAGGGAGAGCAGCAGAGUCCAGCAUCCGUAUUAUCAGUUUAAAGAGCAUACAGUAGUUACACACUUAAACAUUCUUGUUUUUCUUUACAGUAAUACAAUAUGGUCUUCUUAUGUUAGUGUUAAGAUUCUUCAACAUGUAAUUCAUAAGAAGCUUGUAUCAAGAGUUAAGAGGAAUAGUAAGUGAAACCUUCUGUAAACGUUUUACAAAACCUGGCCUACUGAAAUAUGUAUUUUAAUUUGGAUUUAUUUGACAUAAAAUGUAUAAGAUUUUUUAUGUUGUGUAAAAUUAAAACUUUUUACAUGUAUUGGAAAUCCAAGUGAUGGAAAAAGUUGCUAAUUUUCAUCUGAAAAGAUAGCUAAUGCAAAUCCGUUGCUAAACUACAGGCAAAACUUGUGCAGCUACAUUUCUAGAAGGAUUGCAAUUUUCAUUGACUUAUUUAUCUACUACAUAAUGACAUAAGAAAACAUAUCCGGAGUAUCAUAACAAGAAGGCAUAUAAAUGCUGAUAUAAGAAAACGUAUCAGUAGUAUCUUAAGAAGAAGCCAUUUAAAUGCUGAUGCAAGAAAACAUAUUGGUAGUAGUAUCUAACAAGUAUUUUAACAAGAAGGCAUUUAAAUGCGGAUAUAAGAAAACAUAUCUGUAGUAUCUUAACAAGAAGGCGUUUAAUUGCAUAAAUAUCAUAGGGUGCAUCAUAGGAAACUACAGAAAAAUAAAGAACAUUGAAAGUACACUAAAUUUUGCCUUCAUCAACAGAUUUGAAACUUGGUGCAUCGUUGGCCUUUCAUGUGGAUUCGAACAUGCUCUUGAGACUCUCAAUACUAACAUAACUUCUUUCUCAACUUGGGAUGAGGGAGGUGGUAUCCGGCUGUCUCCCACAUUUGCUAACACCAGAUGAUCAUCAGAUAAUGUUGGUAAGGAUGUUAUGAGUUCUCCAGGAUGCUUUUCCAUGACCACUUCUAGUGCAACAACUCCAAAGCUAUACACAUCACAUUUCUCAUUUGCCACCAUCGUAUAAGCAAGUUCUACAUCCAAAGAAACAUAAGAAAAAAACAAAAAAGCUAUAUCAAUCUCACAUGAUUCUAACGUAGAUACAUAUUUAUGUAAAUCAUGAAACUUAAAAACAUGUAGAACUACAAUCAAAAGAUUAUGUUACCUGGAGCGAUAUAACCAUAGGUUCCUGCUACUGCGGUCCAGUUUGAUGAGUCUAGCUUUAAAAGCUUGGAUGUGCCAAAAUCAGAAAUGCGUGCCUCAUAAUCAGAAUCAAGAAGGAUGUUGGAUAUGGAAAUGUCUUUAUGCAGUAUAGGCGGUGAACAAUCGUGAUGCAUAUAAGCCAAACCAUUAGCAACGCCCUUUACAAUAUUGACCCUUGUUAACCAAUCCAAUUCUUUUGCUAAUACAUCGCUUUUUAAAAUAGAUCCAAGGCUGCCAUUUUCAUGGUAUUCAUAAAUCAAAAUUGAGUUGCGGGCAUGGGAGCAAUACCCAUAGAGUUUCACUAUGUUUCGGUGCCUUAUGUUCGUUAGUGCCCGUACCUCAUUAAGGAAACCACUAUGAUCAACAUUCUCGGAUGAUGAAUGAAGUUUCUUGACAGCAACCACAUUGUCAGGUUGUAGCUUAGCCAUACCAUAAAUGCCGCUAUCCCGUAAGAUGUGGUCUUGCAAUACCCAAGAUUGGGUCCUUGAGGAAACAAAAGCAUAUGAGGUAGCCUCUACUGCCGUGUAUAAACCCAAACCACCAAACCGAAUGGGUAGGGAAGCAAGUCGCCGCUGUAAGUCGCCAAAGAAGGGGCCACCACAAAACACAAUGUCCUCAAUCGCCUAGCGUAAUUAGUUGUCGAAGAACAACGCUGCCUCCUCCAUGUGAACGGGUUGGCACGUCCUCAGCCCAAAGAAAAGUUUAGCAAUACCCAUACAAGACCAAAGUAGAAGGAGCUCACUCUGCGGGUGUAACGACCCAAUUUUCACAUCCAAAAAUUUCGUUUUUAAAACAUUAGUUUAGAAAAUGUUAAUAGAUAAAGACAUUGUUUGACCAAAAUACAUCACAACAUAAACCAUGUUCAAAAGUCAUGUCAUACAACCAAUCGAAACAUCAGAGUAUAAAUCCCAAGGAAAUCUAGUAAAUGCGGAAACCGAUGUGCGUGCAUGAUGUACCGCUACCGAGCCAGCUCCUUCCCCUUCGAUGAAGAGGUACCUGAAACCAAAACUGUAAACUGUAAGCACAAAGCUUAGUGAGUUCCCCUAUCGUACCACAUACCAUACAAUAUAUAUAUAUAUAUAUAUAUAUAUAUAUAUAUAUAUAUAUAUAUAUAUAGAGAGAGAGAGAGCGAGAGAGNAUUCUGGGGUGCUGACCUACCCAUGUCAAGCUAUUCUGCGGUGCUGACUACCCUUCGGUCAUAACAACCGAACCUCGGGGACUAUUUCACCCCCUACUACUACCAUCACAUAUAUCCUAACACAAACGUAUUAUCAGACAUAUCUGGGGUGUCUGACUACCCUUCGGUCCUAACAACCGAACUCUACUACUAACACAUACCACAUAACAUAUCAGGUAGUAACAAACCUAGAUGAUAUCACAAAGACAAUCAUCUAACAUACAACUCCUACUGGUGGGUCGGCAUUGUGGCCUUAGACCCACCGCUACUGGAAGGUAACUCACCUCGGAGUAGCUGCUGAUCUUUGUGGGAAUAGUCUGACUGCUGCUGCUGCUGUUCCGGAAAUCCUCCGGCUGUAUUCCCACCAAACACUUAGUCAAAAACUGCUAACUGACCUUUGGGUAAUAUGACCAUUUUACCCCUGAUCAUGCCCUAAGUCAAAGUCAGAGUUAACUUCCAGUUGACCCGACUUGCCGAGUUGGCUCGCCAACUCGCCGAGUCCAUGUCCAACGACUGUCCUGAAUUCUGCCUUUACUCGUCAAGUUAGGCGUCGACUCGACGAGUUCUCCUUCCAAACUGAUGUUCAAGUCCUUCAUCCUACUCGCCGAGUUGUAUGNUAUGUGACUUCACGAGUUCAUCUUCAUCCGAUGAACAAGUUAUACUGUGACUCGCAGAGUUGUAUGAACAACUCGCCGAGUCUGAUCUUGAUCUAAGGAGAUUGCCUUGAACUCGCUGAGUCUAGGCAUCGACUCGCCGAGUUCCACUAUGGGUGAGUUUUGGCUUCCAACUCACCGAGUCCCUCCUGGACUCACUACACAACUCGACAUAACAAAAAGGGGACAAACUCGGGGACUCGCGACUGGACUCGCCGAGUCCGCUCCAUGCAAGACCUAAAAAUGCGAUUUUGCUCGAAUCCAAUCCAUGUCAUUCGUAGAUCUGGGCUCCUAGAGCAUGAAUAACGCGUAAAGUUUCCAACUUUACGUGUAAAUAUCCGUCUAUGGGGUUUUUAGGGUUCAAAAUGCACCAAAAGAGUAGAUCUAAGGUUUAUAUGCAAUAUGGGCUCAUAAAGGUAGUGGAUCUGAGCUCCUGGAGCUCAACUAUGCUUGGAUCUAGAGACCAAUCAACUUAUUUCGAAAUAUUAUGCACAUACAAGCUUGGAAAUGAGCCAUGAUGGACUUUAAUGGGGCCANAGGGAGAGAGGGGGAAAGGGGAGCCAUACCUUAGAUAUCACUCUGAAAUUGCUCACAAAUGCUUGACCUCCUCUUCUUCUUCUUGAUCUCCUUCCCUACACACUCCAAUCUCCAAGAGGACACACUAAAUGGCUUCAAAUCCACAAAACAAGGCUUAGAACGAGGUAUAUGGCUCUUAGGGUGAAUAGGGGCUGGCUUGGGGGCGGAAAGGGGGAUUAAAUAGGGUGCAAACCCCUGAAACUUAGGGUUUCAUCCAACAGUGGUGACUCUCCGAGUCCAGGAUAUGGACUCUCCGAGUCGCCAACUUAAACGUGUCCCGGGUCCCGUCCCUACUCGGCGAGUCGGACCUAUGACUCGCCGAGUCCAAGGCUUAAAAAGGAAAAAUACUCAAUUAAUAUUUACAUACCAGCAACCAGGUGCUACAAAUCUCCCCCACUUAUUUUAGACUUCGUCCUCGAAGUCUGCUGCUCAAUCCUAGAACAACUCGGGGUAAUGCUCCAUCAUUUCAUCCACCGGCUCCCAAGUCCACUCUGAACCCUUGCGGUGCUGCCAUUGCACCUUCACUAACUCCACCCUUUUGUUUCUCAAAUCCUUCGACUUCCUGUCGAGGAUUGCGACUGGGUGCUCAAUGUAAUUCAGGCUGUCGUCAACCUGAAUAUCCUCCAACGGCACUACUGCUGAAUCAUCCACUAAGCACUUCCGCAGCUGAGAGACAUGGAAAGUGCUGUGGAUCUGGCUGAGCUCGACCGACAGAUCCAAUCUAUACGCCACCUUGCCCACCCGGGCUACAACCCUGAACGGUCCGAUAAAUCUCGGACCCAAUUUUCCCCACUUCCUGAAUCGAAUGACGCCUUUCCAAGGCGACACCUUCAGGAGAACCAUAUCCCCGACUUGGAACUCCAAGUCGGAUCGACGCUUGUCGGCAUAACUUUUCUGCCGACUCUGAGCAGUCUGAAGCCUGCUCCGAACUUGCUGGAUCCUCUCGGUCGUCUCGAGCACCACCUCGGUGCUCCCCAUGACCCUCUGGCCAACCUCACCCCAGCAUAUCGGGGUUCUGCACCUCCGCCCGUACAACAUCUCGAAUGGGGGACGGUCAAUACUCGCGUGGUAGGUGUUGUUGUAUGAGAACUCAGCCAAGGGAAGAUAGGUAUCCCAGCUACCACCAAAAUCUAACACACAUGCCCGCAUCAUAUCCUCCAAUGUCUGGAUGGUCCGCUCGCUCUGACCAUCCGUUUGCGGGUGAAAGGCGGUGCUAAAAUGCAAACGAGUGACCAAACCGUCAUGAAACUUCUUCCAAAAUCUGGAAGUGAAUCGCACAUCUCGGUCUGAUAUCACUGACACUGGCACCCCGUGUCGCGCUACGAUCUCCCUGAUGUAGAUAUCGGCCAACUUCUCGGCCGAGAUGCUCUCUUGGAUCGGAAUAAAAUGGGCGCUCUUGGUCAAUCGAUCCACGAUGACCCAAAUCGAAUCCACUCCACGCGCGGUCCUGGGAAGCUUCGUGAUAAAAUCCAUCGUGAUAUCUUCCCAUUUCCACAGUGGAAUGUCCAACGGCUGCAUCUUGCCAUGCGGUCUCUGAUGUUCGGCCUUGACCUUCCUGCAGGUCAAGCACCGCUCGACGUACCAUGCCACAUCCCGCUUCAUGCAGGGCCACCAAUAAUCUAGACGAAGAUCCCUAUACAUCUUCGUCGCCCCGGGAUGAAUAGAGAAUCGGGACUUGUGCGCCUCCUCCAUCAAGAUCUGGCGCACGCCUCCGUGAUACGGCACCCACACCCUGCGGUGUAGUGUCAAUAGUCCUCGACUAUCAUAAUCGAAGGAGGAAACCUGAACCACCACACGUUCGCUCUUCUGAUGUUCCUCCUUGAUAGCCUCCUGUUGAGCCUCCCGAAUCUGCUCCAACAGGGGAGUCACCACAGUCAUCCUCAUGCAAAUAUCCCUGAUCGGCGCCGCCUUCCGGUUAAGCGCAUCGGCCACCACAUUGGCCUUUCUCGGGUGGUAAAGGAUCUCACAAUCAUAAUCCUUCACCACGUCCAACCACCGACGCUGCCUCAUGUUCAGAUUCGGCUGAUCCAUGAGGUACCUCAAACUCUUGUGGUCCGUGUAGAUGGUACAUCGAACCCCGUAGAGGUAAUGCCGCCAAAUCUUGAGGGCAAAAACCACCGCCCCCAACUCCAAAUCAUGCGUCGGGUAGUUCGCCUCGUGAGGCUUGAGCUGCCUCGAAGCGUAGGCAAUGACAUGCCCCCUCUGCAUCAGUACCGCGCCCAACCCUGAAAUGGACGCGUCACAAUAAACCACAAAAUCCUCUACGCCGUCUGGCAGGGCUAAGAUCGGCGCCUCACACAAUCUCUGUCUCAGUGCCUCAAAUGUUGCCUGCUGCUCGGGUCCCCACCGAAAGGCCACGACUUUCUUCGUCAACCGUGUCAGGGGUACAACUAUCUUGGAGAAAUCCUGAACGAACCUCCGAUAAUAGGCUGCCAAUCCUAGGAAACUCCGAAUCUCAGAUGGAGACUUCGGAACCUCCUAUCUCAUCACGGCCUCGACCUUGGCCGGAUCGACCAGAAUCCUGUUCUGGUUGACAAGGUGUCCGAGAAAUUGCACCCCGCGCAACCAAAACUCACACUUGGAGAACUUGGCAUACAUGCUCUCCCUCCUCAGGGUCUCCAAAACCUCUCUCAGAUGCUCCUCAUGCUCCUCCUGCGUCUUGGAAUAAACCAAGAUGUCAUCGAUAAAUACUAUCACAGACCGAUCCAACAUCGGUCUGCAUACGCGGUUCAUGAGGUCCAUGAACGCGGCAGGAGCAUUGGUGAGCCCAAAUGGCAUCACCACGAACUCAUAGUGGCCAUAGCGCGUCCGAAACGCGGUCUUCUGCGUAUCCUCCUUCCUGACCCUCAUCUGAUGAUAACCCGAAUGCAAAUCAAUCUUGGAGAACCAAGAUGCUCCCUGAAGCUGAUCAAAGAGAUCAUCAAUCCUCGGGAGUGGGUAACGGUUCUUCACCGUUACCUUAUUCAACUCCCGAUAAUCUAUACACAUCUGGUGUGACCCAUCCUUCUUCUUCACAAACAGAAUCGGGGCUCCCCAGGGUGAAAAACUCGGUCUAAUGAAUCCCUUGUCUAGUAGCUCCUGCAGCUGCGUAGACAACUCCUGCAUCUCGGGAGGAGCCAACCGAUAUGGUGCCUUGGCUAUCGGGGCCGCACCAGGAACGAGGUCAAUCCUGAACUCCACAUGUCGCUCCGGAGGUAUCCCAGGAAGCUCCUCUGGGAAAACAUCUGCGAAAUCUCGCACCACUGGAACCUCGCUCACGGUCACAUUACCCGCCUCCCGGGUAUCCAUCACGUACGCAACAUAUCCUGCGCAUCCCUGCUGAAGGUAACAUGUAGCCCUCGCUGCUGAACAUACAGCGGGUCCACGUUGUGGCCUCUCACCAUGGAUCACUAAAUCUCCCCCACCUGGGGUCCUGACUCGCACUAGUUGCUGCGCGCAAUCUAUCACCGCCCCAUUAGGGCUCAACCAGUCCAUGCCUAUAAUCACCUUGUUCCCACGCAACGGAAUGGAAACCAAAUCCACCAGGUAGCGCUCCUCGAACAAACACAACACGCAGUCCCGAAAUACCAUCGAUGCUCGCACCGAUCGAUCAUCAGCAAUCUCUACUUCCAAAGGGUAAUCCAGCAUGCCCGAAGACUCGAGAAACUUCUUGCUAAGCGCAAGGGACACAAACGAUCGGGAUGCACCCGAGUCGAACAACACCUGAACUGGGAUACCGUUCACAUGGAACGAUCCUAACACAUAUACAUAUACCGGGAACAUAUCAAUAUCAUAACAUCAUAUAAAUAAACGAGAGGGAAAAGAAUCAUACCUGUCACCACAUCGGGUGCUGCGCGUGCCUCCUUGGUGGUCAGCUGGAAUGCUCGGCUCCUCACCACUAGAGCCUCUGCCUUGCCCUGCCGGCCAUCUGUGAUCCGCAGGGUCGCGGGGGCUGGCGCCUUCACCGGCGCUGAAACUGUCAACUGGGGACAAUUGGCCUUCUUGUGGCCCCUCUGGUUACAAUGAAAACACAGCAACUCCGAUGUCUGAAUAACUGCUGCCGGAGCAGUGCAAUCCCUGCUAUGGUGCCCAGUCUUGCCGCACUUGUAGCAGCCUGAUGAUCCCAUCCUGCACGCCUUCUCGUGCGGCCUGUUGCAUUUCCUGCAGCGGCUCGGUCCUGACUAGCCUUUCGGCCUACCAUCUGAUCCCUUGGGCUUCUUCCUUGAAGCCCCUCCUGCCUGACCCUCUUCUGACUUCCGUUUCCGGAUAUGCUCCAAAUCUAUCUCCCUUUCGCUCACCCUGGCAAUCAUGGAGUCCAGGGUGGGGCAAGCCGAAAAACUAACGUGCUCCCGGAUAUCGGCCCGGAGCAUGUCAUGAUAGCGGGUCCUCCUCAUGUCCUCAUCACCCGCAUAUUGGGGCACCAACAGUGCCCUCUCCCAAAACUUGGCGGUGAUCUCCGCCACAGUCUCAAUCGUCUGCCUCAUAUCCAAAAACUCCCUCGCCAGCUGCUGAAGCUCGAUAGCCGGCGCAAACUCUGCCUUGAACCUGGUCAUAAAGUCCGACCAGGUCAUAGCCUCAAUAGCUGAGGCUCCCAAAGAAUCACCCACUGACUCCCACCAAUCUCGAGCUCGGUCUCGUAAACACCCUGCUGCAUACCUCACCUUCGACCCCUCAGGGCAGAAGCUAGUCAACUGCGCAGACUCAAUGUCUGCAAUCCACCGCCUGGCAACAAUGGGGUCCUUCACCCCAUGGAAAUCCAGCGCACCGCUGCCCCUGAAGUCCUUAAAGGACAGCGUGCGAGAUCCCGACUGGCUAAAUGCCAUGUCUCUCCUGAACGCCCUGAGGCGAUCCUCCAUCAACUCGAUGAUCCCUUCCUUGAUCGGCCUGAAGAUGAUGGGGGUCGAAUCAAGGAUACCUCUGGUGAUCUCUGACGCGAUGAACUCGCGUAGCCUCUUAUCUACUGGCUCGGAACCUGAUCCCGAACCCGAUCCCUCUCCUGAACUGCCAAGUGCUGGUCUCGGGCGUAGUACCACCAUUCGGAAAUACAAAGAAAUAACAACUGUUAGCGAUACUGAUACCCCUGGAGGGAUCCCACCCACUACUAGUUCCCUAGUCUUAUCUUAGCCUUCCUCGGUUCGGGUAUGGAUCCUCUGCUUUCAGUAGUACGGGCCCAUACUACCUUCCACAUCUAUCCGUACCUUCCCCAAAGACCGCCUCAACUCGACCAGGUCCCUUCCCCUACUACUGAUCACCACUACUCAUUAUCCUAGGCUUACCCUAGGAAACCUCUAACUCCAACCAUCCCAGAUCUCAGCUGCUGAAGGCCUCUUGGUGAUGCCAAUUAACUAUUACCUGAACACAAUCACAUGCGCUGAGGCUCGGAUAAUCCUUCGAGUAAGGGACUCAUCUCUAUAACGAUUAAGACUCAAACAAGAGCUACGCAAUAGAGUCAAAUCCAACACUCUGAGAUUAUUCAACCCUGAUCAUAGGUGACUUAGACGUAUUCACCUAACAGUUAACUCCCAUCACUUCAAGGCCCACAUAGCACAAAGCAAACAACAUUUNAACAGACUCAAGCCAAAACUGUUCUUAGAACAAGAAACGACACUUAACAUAGGAUGCUAAGCUCAUACUAUCAGGCAUAACCUAAACAGGCUACCCUACUGCUGUCUACUCAGCUCUAGCAUGCAACUCUUUCAUAUACUGAAGCACAUAAAGCAGGCACAUAAGGCAUCACUCCUAGAUCCUUAGUCCUAUUCUAGCAUGCUGUUCUACAGAAACUGAUAAACAUAAAUAAACUUGUAUGGGUACAUUGAGGAAUACUUACUUGAGCUUGGCCAGUUGCGCACAUCACACACAUUAUUCUUUCUUAAAACCCUUUUCUUAACCCUUUUAGAAAACAUUUUCUCUUUCCAAAAUCAUUUAAUCCCUCGAUUUGAGUUCGAACACCGCCAAAGGUGUGUCCGAAUCCCUCAAACCAGGGCUCUGAUACCAACUUGUAACGACCCAAAUUAUUUUUUUUUUUUUUUGAUAUUACUUUAGAAAACAUUAAUAAAUAAAAACAUUGUCUAAAUAAAAAGAAACAUUGUUUGUUCACACCAUAACACAUUGCAACCAUGUUCUCAAAAGCCAAACCGUACAUCCCAUCAAAUAUCAGAGUACAAUCCCAGUAAAUCUCAUAAAUGCGGAAACCGAAGAGUGUGUGUAUGACGUGCCGCUACCGCGCCGGCUCCUUCCCCUUCGAUGCAGAGGUACCUGAAAACAAAACUGUAAACGUAAGCACAAAGCUUAGUGAGUUCCCCCAACGUACCGCAUACCAUACAAACACAUAACAUAUAUACUGCCAGGCUAUUCUGGGGUGCCUGACUACCCGGUACGGCCAUUCUGGGGUGCCGACCUACCCGUGUCAAGCCAUUCUGGGGUGCUGACAUACCCGUGUCAAGCCAUUCUGGGGUGCUGACCUACCCAUGUCAAGCUAUUCUGCGGUGCUGACUACCCUUCGGUCCUAACAACCGAACCUCGGGGACUAUUUCACCCCUACUACUACCAUCACAUAUAUCCUAACACAAACGUAUUAUCAGACAUAUCUGGGGUGUCUGACUACCCUUCGGUCCUAACAACCGAACUCUACUACUAACACAUACCACAUAACAUAUCAGGUAGUAGCAAACCUAGAUGAUAUCACAAAGACAAUCAUCUAACAUACAACCCCUACUGGUGGGACGGCAUUGUGGCCUUAGACCCACCGCUACUGGAAGGUAACUCACCUCGGAGUAGCUGCUGAUCUUUGUGGGAAUAGUCUGACUGCUGCUGCUGCUGCUGUUCCGGAAAUCCUCCGGUUGUAUUCCCACCAAACACUUAGUCAAAAACUGCUAACUGACCUUUGGGUAAUAUAACCAUUUUACCCCUGAUCAUGCCCUAUGUCAAAGUCAGAGUCAACUUCCAGUUGACCCGACUCGCCGAGNGCUAACUCGCCGAGUCCAUGUCCAACGACUGUCCUAAAUUCUGCCUCUACUCGUCGAGUUAGGCGUCGACUCGACGAGUUCUCCUUCCAAACUGAUGUUCAAGUCCUUCAUCCUACUCGUCGAGUUGUAUGAACAACUCGCCAAGUUCAUCUUCAUCCGAUGAACAAGUUACACUGUGACUCGCCGAGUUGUAUGAACAACUCGCCGAGUCUGAUCUUGAUCUAAGGAGAUUGCCUUGAACUUGCCGAGUCUGGGCAUCGACUCGCCGAGUUCCACUAUGGGUGAGUUUUGGCUUCCAACUCACCGAGUCCCUCCUGGACUCACUACACGACUCGACAUAACAAAAAGGGGACAAACCCGGGGACUCGCGACUGGACUCGCCGAGUCAGAUGAGCGACUCGACGAGUCCGCUCCAUGCAAGAGCUAAAAAUGCGAUUUUGCUCGAAUCCAAUCCAUGUCAUUCAUAGAUUUGGGCUCCUAGAGCAUGAAUAACACGUAAAGUUUCCAACUUUACGUGUAAAUAUCCAUCUAUGGGGUUUUUAGGGUUCAAAAUGCACCAAAAGAGUAGAUCUAAGGUUUAUAUGCAAUAUGGGCUCAUAAAGGUAGUGGAUCUGAGCUCCUGGAGCUCAACUAUGCUUGGAUCUAGAGACCAAUCAACUUAUUUCGAAAUAUUAUGCACAUACAAGCUUGGAAAUGAACCAUGAUGGACUUUAAUGGGGCCAUAAGCAUGGAGACAAGGGGGAAAACAAGCCAUACCUUAGAUAUCACUCUGAAAUUGCUCACAAAUGCUUGACCUCCUCAUCUUCUUCUUGAUCUCCUUCCCUACACACUCCAAUCUCCAAGAGGACACACUAAAUGGCUUCAAAUCCACAAAAUAGGGCUUAGAACAAGGUAUAUGGCUCUUAGGGUGAAUGGGGGCUGGCUUGGGGGCGGAAAAAGGGAUUAAAUAGGGUGCAAACCCCUGAAACUUAGGGUUUCAUCCAACAGCGGUGACUCGCCGAGUCCAGGAUAUGGACUCGCCGAGUCGCCAACAUAAACGUGUCCCGGGUCCCGUCCCUACUCGGCGAGUCGGACCUAUGACUCGCCGAGUCCAAGGCUUAAAAAGGAAAAAUAGUCAAUUAAUAUUUACGUACCAGCAACCAGGUGCUACAGCAGGUCAGACAAUUGUGGAAGAAGGCGCAUCAAAUUCACAGCGCCUUCGGCUCUCUUUAUGGCUAACUUGCUAAUUAAACUAGCAUCUCUGCUAAUAGCUCCCCCGAGAAGUUUCACCCCCAAUGGCGGCCUCCCGAUGCCAACCGGGAAUAGCCCCUCAUGCAGCUUCCUUCCAUCACACGAGGGAAAAAAGAGCUCGGUUUUCUUGAUAUUCAACUGAAGGCCCAAUUGUGGGCCAAUAGCCUUAAUGGUGUCUAUGGCUUUGGCCACCUCCUCAGAAUCUCCAAUAAGUGUGCCAUCAUCUAGGUACCAUGCAUGGAGAAGAAGCUUGCAAUUGUCUCUAAUAUUAUGCAGGAGCGGGUGCAACACAAGUGCAAAGAGAAGUGGUCCCAAGGGGUCUCUUUGUUGAACUCCAGUAGAAGACCAAAUAUGUGCAUCCCCUAGAUAUAACCUUGCUGCUUGACCAUAUAGGAAUUCUACCCACAAGGAUAUAGAAGGGCACCUCAAUCUGACCUCAUGAAGUAAUGUGGAUCUGUCAACAAGGUUAAAUGCAUUAGAGAAGUCCACAGUAAGCAUGGAAAGAGACCCGUCAUUGUGGCGUUCACUCAACACCCUAUUGGCACUAUGUAAUACGGCUUCAGCGCCACUCGACACCCCGACCCCAAACUGAAAAUCAUUGAGACACUUGGCCAUUUCUUUACCAACACCUUUCAUAGCCAGCUUGGAAACCAAACAUCUCCAUAUAGUUCCUACUACAAUAGGUCGUAUUCCCUUAUAAGGUUUUAGAAGCGGGUUGAGAGGAGCAGAGGCAACAAAUUCCGCCAAACUUGAAGGCCAUCUCCCCCUAGCCAUAAAUUAAUUACACAUGUGAUAGCACAUAGGAGGUCUUUGGCAAUUGUUGAACCUUCUCCACAAAGAGUAUCUAAGAUGUGUUGAGAUCUCUACCCAUCUCUUCCACACGAGGUUCCUUUAGGGAAUGAUUUAAUUGCCCCAAGGACAUUAUCCAUAUCAACCACAAGGGGAGGUACUGAACAUAUGGUACUCAGCAUGGAUGGUGCUGGCUUGUGUGGAUGCUUAUCCUCCAAUGCCUUCGUGGUAGCAUCCCCAUAUGGAGCAACCCCUAAGGAACAUAAUACUUUCACUGCUGUUGUGAAAUGCCCAUCAGCAACCUUACAGAGACAUUGUCUGACGUUGGUAUAUGACCCCGUUUUCUAUCCUCCUGAAUGUACUCUUCUUUUUUGCCUUGUUGCUCCAUCCUUGCAUUGUCAACAAAGUUUUUAACAAGCUUGGCUAUAUGAUCUUCUAUACCCCAAGUAGCUAAUGCGCUUAAGAUGUUACGAUGUUACAAGGACUUCCUGUUCCUAGACCUACUUUCGUGUCUAUUCUUGGGCCUAAACACCUGAAAAGUACACCUAGGAAGAAUUAACAAUGUAACCCAUGCUUCAAUGGACUCGGGAUAAGCAACAACCUUGGAAAAUGCUGAUUUCAAAGCCUAAGAGAAAGCCAUACAACAAUUAUGAGUGAUGCUUUUGACAGUGGUGAUAGCUAGCUUAAACAUAAGAUCAAGGAGCUGAGUAUCCAACACCAACCCCUCAUUGAGGUUGGCAUCCGGUUCAUUGGGUGGUGGCUUUUGAAUAUCAACAAUAUGUUCUCGCAUGUCAUCAACAUGACCAUUAAAUUUAACAAGACCACCUGAGUACCGAUACGAGCGGCUUAGGUCAUGGAGACUCAUACAAUCCCCACAUAUCCAUUGACCAAACUCCUUCAAUGUUGUUGUCACUGACAUAAACAAUCCAAGGUCUAAAGAAAUAGCAUCUCGCAACACAGCUCUACGCUCAUCCAUAGAAAGGUGCAAACUCUUGAUAUGAGAAAUCAUACAUGAUAUCCCCUUACCACCCACUUCACCGUUCGGGCAACAAUGAAACCCCCUGAAAAGGACACAGCCAAGUUCCGCUCGUAUAUGAAUGACAAGACGCAAUAAACAUAUAAACAAAUCUUACUAAAGCCUCAAGGGGAGGCUUGGAAAGAGAAGCAAAAAUCCAAAGAAAAGAGUGAUACUCCAACAAAAGGUUGGAGUGCACAAUGAAAAACCACCCCAGAAGAGUCUCUACAUCUUUUUGGGUCUUAAUAUGGCUGCAACACUUGUAAAAAGACCUUCAGACAUUUUAUCGAACACCUGGUGAGCAGAAAAAGAAAUGUAGGAUUUGAUCCAAUGAGGCUUGAGAAUUUAACCCAUAUAUAAUCCCCCUUUAGUGAGUAAAAGUUAGUUUUUUUUUUUCAUCUUAAAAAAAUAAAACACCUAAAACCAUAGGUUUUUAGAUGAAACAGUAGAUCAAUUUUAAUCUACUCUUUGGGAAACAGUAGACUUCUCAGAGGAAACAAUAGACUAUUUUUUCCUCUACGGUUUCAUCGUGAAAAUGAAAUAAAAAUCCUUAUAUACUAACCGUAGGUAAAUUGGCGAAACAUUAGACCAUUUUAACCACCUACAGUUUCGAUGGCUAUUUUGAAAUAAGUCCUAAAUUUUGACUAGAAAGUGAGAAGUCAUUAAUUGGUUAGAUUAGUAAUUUUCACUUUAUUUUAAGAUAUUAGUCUUAAAAACUGAGGGCCCAGAAACAUAUAUGUAUUAUAAGGUAUAUAGAUAUACGUAUUUAUUUUACUUGUAUGUAUGUAUGUAUUUUUAAGUAUUUUUGUAUUUUUUAUUUAUUUAUGUAUUUUUAUUCAAACUUUCAUUGUAAGAUAACUACUAGACCGUGUAAACGAAGGAAAAAAAUAUUAGAUUACUCCAAAAAAAAAUUCAAAGACAAUACUUACAAACAACGUAAUUUUUAUAUGUAAAUUCUUCAUUUUUUCUUGAAUUCAGUUUUAGAUGAACAAAAUUUACAAAUAUUUUUGUCAUUAAAAAUAUAUUCGUACACUUUGUUUAUCUAAGAACUGAAUACAAGAAAAAAAAAUAGAAGAAUUUACCUACAAAAAUGACUUUUAUUGCUAAUGAUUGUUUUCAAGUAGCCUUUAUUUUCUUUAUUUACAGGGUCUAUUAGUUAGCUUAUAAUGAAACAAGAAGUAAAAAAAAAAAAUUAUACAUACGUAAAAAAAAAUGUAAUAAAAUCCUUAAAAGUACUUACAAAAAGUUAAAAGAUACAUAUAAAUACGUAAAAAAAAUACAUAAAAGUAUGUAAAACAAACUAUAUAAUUAUUUUAAAAGUACAUAAUUACAUGAAAAAUAUAUCAAAAUACAUAAAAGUACGUAAAAAUACUUAAAAAUUCAUAUAAUUAUGUAAAAGAAAUAUGUUUAUACCGUUAAAAUAUAUAUAAAAAAAAAAAAAAAAAAAAAAAAAAAAAAAAAAAAAAAAAAAAACUUAAAAAUAUAUAUGUAAAAAAUGAAAAAAAAUAAAUUUUCAGAAAUACGUAAAAAUACUUAAAAAAUAAAUAUAAAUACCUAAAAAAUACGUUUAUACAUUUUAUAAUUUUUUUUAGAAAAUCUAUAAAAGGUAUCAUUAUUUUGGGAAAAAUUAACGCUGUGGUCCCAUUACUGAACAUGUCAAAAGAGCCUAAAAUAAAGAUAUUUGUCAGCUUCUUUGGUGGUUCGAUAAAAAAAUUUGGGACUUAAUCGUUGAUUUUCUCAAAAUCAUGAGAAUUAUCUAUAGAUUUCCCUUUUAAUUUGGUUACAUUAGUCCCAAAUCAAAUAUAUUGGCUUUCUUUAUACGCCUUGUACUCAAAUAUUUACUUUACUAGUUUUGCCAAACUCUCACUAGUUGGCUAUUUUUGCAUUUAGGUCAAUCACAAAUUGUUUCAACUCUUUUGCGUAAACUGAGCACAGGACAUGUGCCAGUGUUUGAUUUUCAUAGAAAUAAGCCUUUAUCAUUGCUUUUUCAACCACAUGUAUAAUGUACUGAAGGGAUUUAAAGUCUCUUUCAUGCUUGAAACUCUGUUAUUUUCCCUGUAUUAGAUCAUCAAUAUGCGUGUUGUGAUAAAAUUUUCAUUUGGCUAAUUUUCAUCUUCCUUUUUUAUAGGCAGAUACUAAACCUACAGUAUAAGAUUAGGUCAUCCGAAAAAUAUUACCGUAUGAUUGGCUUGGGUUAUUACAAGAUACAGAAGAUGUACGAAUAAGUAACACUACAACAUUCUUAAAAAAAAUCUUGUGUUGAGAAUACAUAAAAUAUAUGAAUAAGUAACACUCAAUCACAUAAACUGAAAAUAAAAUCACAUCAAGGGAAAGCAGCAGAGUCCAGCAUCCCUAUUAUCAGUUUAAAGAGCAUACAGUAGUUACACACUUAACAAUGUUCUUGUUUUCUUUUUUCUUUUUUUUUUUUUACAGUAAUACAAUACGGUCUUCUUUAUGUUAGUGUUAAGAUUCUUCAACAUGUAAGUCAUAAGAAGCUCGUAUUAAGAGUUAACAGGAAUUGUAAUUGAAACCUUCUGUAUAUGUUUUGCAACACCUGGCCUACUGAAAUAUGUAUUUGAAUUUGGAUUUGUCUGACAUAAAAUGCAUAAUAUUUUUUAGAGAAAAUUACACGGAUGGUCCCUGUGGUUAGGGGUUACUUGCACGCUUGGUCCCUAGAAAGUAUUUUUAACUCGGACCGUCCCUAAAACUUAGAUUUGUUACCCGCCCAGUCCCUAAACUAACUAGCCGUCUAUUUUGCUGUUAAACCAUGAUGAAAAGACAUAUUUACCCUUACUUUUAUAUGUUUAUAAUUAUUCUUGAAAAUGAAAAAUAUUCCACCCCAAAAUAUACCCCACAGACCCACACUCCAUAACCUAAAAUUGAUCGGCGUCGUAUCCUCCUCUCAGCACCUCCCUUCCACCUACUGUUACCGGCUGCCAGAGACUCUCCGUAACUGGCCAUAUCAUCACCACCAAAACUCCCCUCCUACUGCCCUAUCCCCAAUCUCGUCACCAUCUUCACAUCAGCCUUUCAAAUAAUUAACCAAUUAUUAGCCGAAAAGGAUUAUUAAACUAGAUUUAUCAAGAUUUGAUGGCUUACAAGUUACAGCUUACCUGAGAAGCAGUGAUACCCUGAGUUUCAUGUAAUGAACCACCUUCAAUAACUUUGUUUUCAUGUAACAUCUCGAUUUCCUCGAUAGGCCAUUGUAGGAGCUGCUUCUGGUUUUUGUCUAGCCAAAUACUCCUCAGAAAUGACUGCAUGUAUAGGUGAGUUAAUGAUCUUAUAUAUAAUUAAGGAGAUAAGUGAAAUUAUUGAAUCUUUGAUUACUUGAACUCCGACCCAUCCUUUAGCGAUGACAGCAGCUUCAGAAUCAGUCUCGUGCACCCAACCCAUAAUUAUCCUUCGCUUUUUCACAGGAUCGAAGAACGAUUUGGAAGUGUAGUACCUCCCAUAAUCAAGCCUUAAACUGCCGAGUGUUAGUAAUCUCCGUUUCCCCUUCGUGCUAGGGUUUAUGACAGAUGUAUCGACCCCAUUCGUGCUAUCAACCCACACCGGAAAGAAAUCAGGGCAUUCCCAUAUUCCUGUUCUUAGAAAUUGAUGAAGUGGGGAAUCAUGUUUACUCCAAUUAACAAGAUCGUCGGGUCUCUGAAGUCACCCGGUUGAGAUAUGGAUUGCCGACAUGUUUACUCCAAUCAUGUUUACUCCAUUUUUUGAGAUAUGGAUCGGAUAAGUCCUUUAGAACGGCCAAAUUCUGGACUUGGCUGUUUUCUGAGUCGAUUCCGAUGUAUAGCAUAAUAGGCUUGUUUCCGGGGAGGAUGGUGACGGAGUCAAACCAUCAGCCAUUGAUGUGGAAGGGAAGAAGUGAGAAGAAGAAAUCGAGAAAAACAAUGAACGAGGUGGGUUUUAGAGACUUGAAAUGGUGAAAUGACAAAAAUACCCCCAUUAUGUGGGUUACUAACACCUAAACAAACGGAAAUAUUAUGAGAGGGACUGGGCGGGUAACAAAUCUAAGUUUUAGGGACGGUCCGAGUUAAAAAAACUUUCUAGGGACCAAGCGUGCAAGUGACCACAAAUCAUAGGGACCAUCCGUGUAAUUUUCUCUAUUUUUUAUGUUGUGAAAAUUUAAUUUACCAAUGUUAUUUUGCUACUUUUUACAUGUAUUGGAAAUCCAAGUGAUGGAAAAAGUUGCUAAAUUUCACCUGAAAAGAUAACUAAUACAAAUCCGUUGCUAAACUACAGUCAAAACUUGUGCAGCUACAUUUCUAGAAGGAUUGCAAUUUUCAUUGACUUAUUUAUCUACUACAUAAUGACAUAAGAAAACAUAUCCGGAGUAUCAUAACAAGAAGGAAUGUUAAUGCUGAUAUAAGAAAACGUAUCAGUAGUAUCUUAACAAGAAGGCAUCUAAUUGCAUAAAUAUCAUAGGGUGCAUCAUAGUAAACUACAAAAAAAAUAAAGAAUAUUGAAAGUACACUAUAUUAGGCCUUCAUCAACAGAUUUGAAACUUGGUGCAUUGUUGGCCUUUCAUGUGGAUUGGAGUUCAAACAUGCUCUGGAGACUCUCAAUACUAACAUAACAUCUUUCUCAACUUGGGAUGAAGGAGGUGGUAUCCGACUGUCUCCCACAUUUGCUAACACCAGAUGAUCAUCUGAUAAUGUUGGUAAAGAUGUUAUGAGUUCCCCAGGAUGCUUUCCCAUGACCACUUCUAGUGCAACAACUCCAAAGCUAUACACAUCACAUUUCUCAUUUGCCACCAUCGUAUAAGCAAGCUCUACAUCCAAAAAAACAUAAGAAAAAAACAAAAAAGCUAUAUCAACCUCACAUGAUUCUAACGUAGAUACAUAUUUAUGUACAUCGUGAAACUUAAGAAUAUGUAGAACUACAAUCACAAGAUUAUGUUACCUGGAGCGAUAUAACCAUAGGUUCCUGCUACUGCAGUCCAGUUUGAUGAGUCUAGCUUUAAAAGCUUGGAUGUGCCAAAAUCAGAAAUGCGUGCCUCAUAAUCAGAAUCGAGAAGGAUGUUGGAUAUGGAAAUGUCUCUAUGCACUAUAGGCGGUGAACAAUCGUGAUGCAUAUAAGCCAAACCAUUAGCAACGCCCUUUACAAUAUUGACCCUUGUUAACCAAUCCAAUUCUUUUGCUAAUACAUCACUUUUUAAUAUUGAUCCAAGGCUGCCAUUUUCAAGGUAUUCAUAAAUCAAAAUUGAGUUGCGGGCAUGGGAGCAAUAUCCAUAAAGUUUCACUAUGUUUCGGUGCCUUAUGUUCGUUAAUGCCCGUACCUCAUUAAGGAAACCACUAUGAUCAACAUUCUCGGAUGAUGAAUGAAGUUUCUUGACAGCAACCACAUUGUCAGGUUGUAGCUUAGCCUUGUAAACAAUACCGUAUCCUCCGGUCCCUAUACAGUAGUCUUCAUUGAAAUCAUUUGUUGCCUUCAAGAUAUCAUCAUACACUACUUUACCGUCAAAACUUGUAAUAUGGAAAUAAUCACCACUUUCUUCUUCCAAUGGUUUACGUGGAGACUUUUUCCAUCGUUGUCGAUAAGCAAUGAGGCCAUACGUGAAUAAACAAAGUAAAACUACCCCUAUAAGGGGGAGCAUGAUUACAAGGAUGAGCUUCUGACGAAAGGGAUCGUUUUUCUUCUUCGUAAUUUGACUUGUACAAAGUUUCACUCCCGUAACAUUUCCACACAAACCUGGAUUACCUUGGACGGACGCAUUCAACAAGUUGGGGCUCGGUGGAACCGGACCUGUGAGCUCAUUGUAAGACAGGUCGAUAUCAAUUCCGCCAUGCAAAUUUGUAAAAGUAUUAGGAAUAGAACCAGAUAGUCUAUUGUGGGAAAGAUCCAAUUUCUGCAAAGUUUGUAAACUUUGAACUUCAGAUGGUAUCUCUUGUGUGAACAAAUUCCGAGAUAAAUCAAGUUUCUCAAGAUGAACUAAUUUACCAAUCUCGGACGGGAUUUUUCCACCGAGCUUGUUAUUACUAAGAUUCAUGUAAUUGAUUUGUGCCCAUUGACCAAUACUUCUUGUUAUCGACCCAUUCAAUCUGUUUGUGGACAGAUCUAGUACAAGGAGUUCAUGGAAUGAUCCAAGCUCCAGAGGUAUAAUGCCUGAAAGUUGGUUAUUAGACAAGUACAAAUUCAGCAUACUUUUCAUCUUCCCAAAUUCCUUAGGGAUUUCACCUACCAACUGAUUAGAAGAAAGAUCAAGCCUUUGUAAUCGCGUUGAAUUUGCAAACUCUGGUGGUAUGCUACCUCUAAGUUUAUUGUUGCUAAUGUCAAGAUCAGUGAGAGACUUCAAAUUUCCAAGUCCAGUAGGAAUGGGACCAGAUAAUCUAUUCACAUCUAGGUACAGAAUCUGUAGGUUACUCAGGUUUGAUAGAGAUAAAGGAAUAGAACCACUAAGUUGAUUCUUACUUAUUACAAGAUCAGUGAGAGACUUCAAAUUCCCAAGUUCAUUAGGAAUGAGACCAGAAAAAUUAUUCCUUUGUAGGAACAUACACUCUAGGUUACUGAGGUUUUCUAGGGAGGAAGGAAUAGAACCAUUUAGUAGAUUUUGGCUCACUUGGAAAUUAGUGAGAGCCUUCAAAUUCCCAAGUUCAAUAGGAAUUGGACCAGAUAAUUCAUUUUGAUCAAGGAACAGAAAUUGUAGGUUGCUCAGAUUUCCAAUUGAUGAAGGAAUAGAACCACUAAGUGUAUUGUUGCUUACCAGAAGCCUAGUGAGAGACUUCAAUUUCCCAAGUUCAAUAGGAAUUGGACCAGAUAACUUAUUAUGAGCCACGUUAAGACGAUUUAGGUUGCUCAGGUUUGCUAGUGAUGAAGGAAUGUAACCACUAAGUUGAUUCAUGGCCAUCACCAGAAUAGUGAGAGAUUUCAAAUUCCCAAGUUCAUUAGGAAUGGGACCAAAUAAAUUGUUCUCAGCUACGUACAGAGAUUGUAGGUUGCUCAGAUUUCCUAGUGAUGAAGGAAUGAGACCAGAGAGCUGAUUUUGGUACAAAGAAAGGACAUUUAAAGAUGUCAAAGCACCCAAUGAUGAAGGAAUUGAGCUAGAUAGAUUGUUUGAGUAUAAGUAUAGGAACUCAAGUGAGACCAUGCUUCCAAUUUCAGGUGGGAUUUCACCAGAAAACUGAUUCUGUGAAAAAUCAAGAUAGAUAAGUUUGGAGAGGAGUCGGAUUUGUGGUGGGAUAGGGCCAAAGAAGCUG